UUUUUUUGUUUUUUUUGUUUUUGUUUUUAUCUAUUUGCAUUUCUGUUUUAAAACAUUUUAAAUUAUUUAGACAUUUUAUAAAAAUGUGUUUGCUCCACCGUAAUUACCUUUGUAAUAUUUGGCAACCACCGAACAUUUUUGUUUCAAUUUUUGAAAACUUUUAUUGCCGACAUUAAUUUUAAAUUUGAAUUUGACGCGGUUUGGACUAAGGGACGUUUAGCAACAGUAAUCAGGAUGACGUGGCAUGAUUAGCGUGGGAUUACUGUAGCAAGAUUAUCUGGGCGUUACAAGUUGAUUAGCUCCUGGAUCUGUGGGGCAUACCCACAACUUCUCUUCUGAUCUGAAGCUGUUCUCUUUAUGGUUUCCACAAUUAGGCUCAUGACUUUGAUCUUUUGAGGCACAUCAAAUAUGUGGAGCAGGUUAAUUGCAUGGCCUUUGAUCAUCUUGUGAUCACCUGACUUUGGCAAAAGAGUGUGCCUGAGGAUCCAGUUGAUUGUUGGCAAACCUGACAGAAGGUAAUGUACUAAUCCAAACUUGUGUGUCUCAAGAGCAGCAUCUCGGAUCUCUUUGUACAUGUGUGCCAUGGUGUUGUGAUCCUUCUUCUUCUUGGCAUAGACAUCCAAGUCAUCUUCAUUCUCCUCGGGAGCAUUGAUCAAUUUUGCCCAUUCUUCAACCGUUGACUGGUACCUAGUACCUUCAGACAUCCAGACAAUCCUUCCAUCUGGGUAGAAAUGAGUUGUGGAGUAGAACUGCAUAAUAAGCUCAUCAUUCCACUUUGUGAGCUUCUGAACCACAAACUCAUCGACUCCACAUGACUUGAAGCUGUCAUGUACACCAGGGAAGUGAUCUUCAUUUUCCUUAAUGAAUUUCCAAUCAACCCAUCUCAUGUCACACACUAUGGGCUUCUUGUCAAGUAAAAUAGUCUCAUAGAACUCCUGUUGUUCCUUUGUAAGGAACCUGUAGUCCACAGCAAUCCUUCUCCUGGUGGCAUAUGGAUCAGACUCUCUCCAUAGCCUCAAUCCUGAAUCCUUCCUGAUUUUCAUGUUCUCUGCAACUGGGUGAGCAUCAUUGUGAUCUGGAAUUUUGGGCUUCAACUUCCUCAAAAUGACAGAAUCAUCUUCUUCGGCAGCUUGAGGCACGGGGGCCUUGUUCUUCUCCUCAGCAGGGAUGUUCCUGGUGCUCCUCUUGGGUUUUGGCUUUGGAGCUGGAGCAGUAGUCUUAGGAGCAGUUUUGGGCUUAGAUGGAACAGCCCCUACCCUUAUAGCAUCUCCCAUAAGCUUUUGAGCUUUGGGUGCUGGUGCUGCAUCCUCUUCCUCUUCUUCAGAAUCUCUCAUUAUUGAAGAUCUGCCAAGCACUCUGGCAGUGGUCUUCUUGACCCUUUCCUUCCUUUUCUUUUCUACCACAACCUGUUCUUUGGGUGCAGAUCCCAAAGUCUCUUGAGUGGACGUUCUGGCCUUUGACAUAGGAACUCUCUUGGCAGGAACCUUUUGCUUCAUUCCUGGCUUAGUGGCAACAGCUGUGCCAUAUUCCUUUUUCAGAACUUUCCUCUUUGAGGUGGCCUCUUCCUCAACAGCCACAUAGUCCUCAUCCUCAGAAUCUGAGGUUCUCUUCUUUCUGGUCCUGGUGGCUGCCUUAGGCAAGUUGCUGGGUGUACUCCUGCUUCCCUCAUCAAAGCUGCUAGAGGGACUAGUGCCCUCACUCAUGUUAACUUGCUCCUCAGACUUGUUCUGACUGUCACUCUGAUCUGACAUGAUGCAAACACUGAUAACAGACCCUGUGAAUAGAUAUAGAUGAGACAGAUUGGAUUGGCAUCACAAAGUACAGAGGGUUUUGCAAAAGAAUUAGUCAAAAACUUAGUUUUAGUUUUCCACAGAAAGCAUUUCGGAUCUACCGAUUUGAAAACUCGGUGAUACUGAAGCAGCUUUUGGAACCUAAACUAGUGAACUCGGUCAGACCGAGUCACAGUUCGGUGGCACCGAGACUGCUAGAGUUUCACAAAGUAUUGAACUCGGUAGAACCAAUUUCAACAACUCGGUUGGUCCGAGAUGAUUUCGGCGGAAACCUAACCCUAGAUUUUCAAUCCACGACUAAACUAUGGAGUGAUUUCGCUAGAUAGAGUGAUCUGAAUCGUGGCAAGAUACAUGGCAAAACAAUGUGCUAAGAAUCGGAGGGGGAUUAGCACAAGGAUCAAGUCCAUACCCUAAGUGCGGCGAUGGACCUGCUACGGCGGUAACGGCGGAGACGAUUUUUGUUGACGGCGGCGGAGACCAGCGGCGGGAGGCAGCUGGCGAUGAGGAGGAUGAUCCGGAGACCCAGGGAGGAAGAACAGGCUGAGUGCGGGCGAAGGGGUUCGGAAAAUUUUCCAAAUUUUGGCCCGGGGAUAUAUAUAGCCUGACCCUUUCGGUGUGACCGAGUGGAACAACUUGGUGACACCGAGAUUCAUAACUGCAAGCAGUUACUGAAACUCAAUGUGACCGAAAAGUUCAAAUCGGUUGCACCGAGAUUGAAAACCUAGAUCAACUUAGUGAUCUCGGUAUGACCGAAAUGGAUGAAUCGCUCAGACCGAAAUGCACAAAGAAGUUUUGGAAGUUUAAGUCUAUGACGAAUCGGGGACUCCGAAUGCUCCUCACACAGAGUUGUUCGAAUCUGACUUGAUCAAACUUUGUGAUGUAGCAUGAAUAUAGUUUGAGACGAGAAAAGCAUAGAUAGCUAGAGAAGGUUCUUAGGCAUUCUUGUCCAUCCACUUGGCAAAAGAAAAAGGAACCAAACAAUCAAAACAACAAGUGGAUGUCCUCUAAUGAGUAAAUUAUGCAACCAACAUGCUCACACAAUAAAAUGGCAAAUGAAAUAUGUGGCAAAGCAUGCACAACCAAUUCUAGCAUCUAUCAAGCAAUUGGCGAUGACUAGGUCAUCUAUAUAUGAAUAUAUUGACUUAGGAGUCAAAUGAGAACAUUUGAUCAUAGGUCAUACUCAUCGUUUAAGCACAAGUGGGGUUACCACUUUUACAUAAAGCGUUGUUGUGUUCACACCAUUAGAGUUGCUUUAGCUCAAUUCUUAGAGUAAAGCUCCCCUAGAUGUGAGAUCCACCCUAAGAGGGAUGAACUAACCUUGGGUUUUGUCGAUGAUGACUUCAUGUAGAUGUUGAAGAUGUGGAUGCUCAAUGUUGAUGUAGAUCAUUUGGAGCAAUCCUUUGGAGUGAGUUGCACUUUCAAUACCUACACGGGUUAGUCCCACAAGGAACAAACAAGGAUAUCCAUAGACAUAGAGUGAUGCACACACAAGAUGAUGUCUAUGAAAGCAUUAGGUUACCUUGUCCCUUGUCUUACCAACAAGAGGGUUUGUGACUCCUUGAACUAGUGCAAGAUGUGGAAGUUGAUUGCACUUGUUCUUCCCAAAAUGAUAAGAGUGAAGUAUGUUGGCGGAGUCACCCUCAAGAACUCUCUAGUUCUUCUUCUUCAUGAUCCACAUCAUAUUGAUGGGAAUCCUUGGAGUUGUAGUCGUAUUUGAUGAAGUAGAACUUGAUGUAGUCUUGGGAACUCACUUGACCAAGGCCUUGGGUGCUUCUUCAAAUGCAUCAAUUUCCUCUUGAAGCUUAUCCUUGCCUUUUUGCUUGUGGUCUUGUGGUGGAAGAUCAUCUUGAGCAUGUGUCCCUUUAAAGGAAGUAGGAUCAUACUUCUUUUGUUGAGGAACAAACUUUGUCUUGGGGUAUUGAUCUUCUUCCCACUCAACUCCAUUGGCAUUGAACUUUCAUUCAAAACCAACACCUUUGUUCUUCCGGUGUCUUCCUUGCUUGCGUACAAUUUCCUCGAAUUGCUUACUCUCGGCAAGGCUCUUGUAAACACCUUUCUCUAUAAUUCCCCUCAAUAAGGUAUUUUCUUGCUCAAGUGUAACUUGGGUAAGAGAAUCAUUAGUGGAAUCAAGAGAACUACUAGAAGCAACAACAUUAGAAUUAGCAUGAUUAUUGUUACUACUAGAGGAAGAAUCUUUCUUGUUCUUGUUACUAGACUUGACUUGAGGCAUGUAAGUGGAUAAGAGUAAACGUUUGGCAAUGUAAGAAGAAUUCUUCUUGCGAAGAUCAUCAUUGAUUGCUUUUAAGAACUCAUGCUCUUGCUCAAGGUUGAGCUUUUCAAAACGUAAUUUCUCAUGAGUCCUUAAAAGUUCUCGAUGAUCUCCUAAGAUAGUUUCAUGAGCUAACUUAAGAGUGUUUAGUUCUUUAGUUAGAAACUCAAUCUUCUCCUUAUCAUUGUCAUUCGUUUUAUCUUGAUUAGCAUGAUUAAUUGACGUUUCAUCAUAGUAUUCAUCACUAGAGUUGUCAACAAGUAAAUCAUCAUCACCUAACAAGUCAUCUUCAUCACUAUUUAAAUCAACAUACUCAGGAUGUGAUACCUUUGGGCCUUUAGCCAUGAAGCAUCUUCCAAGUCCUUCAUUUGGUGAAUCAAAUACGUCAUAGGAGUUGGUUGACACAAGUGCUAGACCGGCAACACCUUCAUCUUGAGUAUAUUUGGAGUCGGAGUGAUAGCUUCUCUCAGAGUGAUUGUCGGAGUCGGAGCCGGAUACCCAUUCACCAACAUGAGCUUGAUGUCUUCGUUUUGUGUAGCUCCUUGAUGACUUGUCCUUCCUUUCCGAAUCUUUGCUUCUCUGGGAUGUUCUUCUUUCAUAAUGAUCAUCUCUACUCCUUCUCUCUCUUGAUGGUGAUUCUUCUCUUCUACUUCUUCUUUUUGGAGAAUCUUCUCUUCUCUUGUAGGGUGUCGUACACUCAUUGAAAUAGUGUUCGGGUCCUCCACAAUUGUAGCAAUUUCGCUCCGACUAGAAGAUCAUUUUUAAUUGUAGGACCUUGACUUGGAACUUCUCUCUUUGCUUCUACUCUUGUAGAACUUGUUGAAGUUCUUCACCAUUAGGCUCAAUUCUUCAUUAAAGGUUUGUUUCUCACUUGAUGAUGUGGGAGCUUCACAUGAGGCUUUGUAAGAACCACUUGACUUGUUAUGGAUCUCCUCCUUAUCCUUGAGUGACAUCUCAUGAGCAACAAUUCUGCCAAUGACUUCCGUUGGCUUGAGAUCUUUGUAAUUGCGCAUCAUUUGGAUCAAUGUGCAUACGGUAUCAUAUUUUCCGUCCAAAGCUCUUAGGAUCUUCUUGAUGAUGAAUUUGUCGGUCAUCUCUUCACUUCCUAUGUCGGCAAUCUCAUUUGUGAUAAGAGCAAACCUAGAGUACAUUUCAGCGACACCUUCACCAUCCUUCAUUUUGAACUUGUCAAGCUGACUUUGAAGCACAUCCAACUUGGAUUCCUUGACGGAGUCGGUACCUUCGUGCAUAUCAAUCAAAGUAUCCCAAAUUUCCUUUGCAUUCUCAAGACGGUUGAUUUUGUUGAAUUCUUUGGGGCACAAUCCGUUGAAGAGGAUAUCACAAGCUUGAGCAUUGUAUUGCAGCAUCUUCAACUCUUCCGCACUAGCUUCACGGUUCGGUUCUCUCCCAUCAAAGAAUUCACCUUGCAAGCCAAUACACACAAUAGCCCAUACGGCGGGGUUAUGUCCAAGAAUAUGCAUUUUCAUCUUAUGCUUCCAACUAGCAAAAUUAGUACCAUCAAAGUAAGGAAAUCUACGGUGGUAAUUUCCCUCGCUAGAUGCCAUACUCUCCUAGGUUGUGAAACCAAGGCUAUGACUACCAAAAGCUAUGGAAAUCAAAGCAAAUGGAGACCAAAGCUCUGAUACCACUUGUAGGAUCGAAAGUAUGUCUAGAGGGGGGUGAUUAGAGUACUUGACCAAAAAAAACUUAUCCUUUUCCCAAUUUUAGUUCUUGGCAGAUUUUAGCAACUUUGGACAAGUCAAGCAAUCUUAACACAAUUCAAGCAAGCAUGCAAAGAGUAUAUGAGCAGCGGAAAGUAAAGCAUGCAACUUGCAAGAAUGUAAGGGGAAGGGUUUGGAGGAUUCAAACGCAAUAGUAGACACGGAUGUUUUUGUUGUGGUUCCGAUAGGUGGUGCUAUCGUACAUCGAUGUUGAUGGAGACUUCAAUCCACGAAGGGUAACGGCUGCGCUAGUCCACGGAGGGCUCCACCCACGAAGGGUCCAUGAGAAGCAACCUUGUCUAUCCCACCAUGGUCGUCGCCCAUGAAGGACUUGCCUCACUAGCGGUAGAUCUUCAUGAAGUAGGCGAUCUCCUUGCCCUUACAAACUCCUUGGUUCAACUCCACAAUCUUGUCGGAGGCUCCCAAGUGACACCUAGCCAAUCUAGGAGACACCACUCUCCAAGAAGUAACAAAUGGUGUAUUGAUGAUGAACUCCUUACUCUUGUGCUUCAAAUGAUAGUCUCCCCAACACUCAACUCUCUCUCACAAGAUAUGGAUUUGGUGGAAAGAAUAUUUGAGUGGAAAGCAACUUGGGGAAGGCUAGAGAUCAAGAUUCAUAUGGUAGGAAUGGAAUAUCUUGACCUCAACACAACUGUAGGUGGUUCUCUCUCAGAAAAAGUAAGUUGGAAGUGUAGGUUUGUUCUGAUGGCUCUCUCCACUAAUGAAGAGGUGGUGCAGGCGUAUAUGUAGCCUCGACACAAAAUCUAACCGUUACACACAACUUGCCAAUCUCGGUGGGACCGAAUUGAUAGACUCGGUCGGACCGAUUCAGCAAAGCUAGUGACCGUUAGGAGUUUCGGUGGGACCGACAUGCAACUCGGUAGGACCGAUAUGGUUAGGGUUAGGGCAUAACGUAAUCUCGGUGAGACCGAUUACACAAACUCGGUGAGACCGAUUUUGGUAAUAAGCUAACCAGAGAGUUGGUCAGGUAAACUUGGUGGGACCGAUUCGCUCAUUUCAGUGAGACCGAAAUGUUACAAAAGGGAAACAGAGAAUUUACAUUGCAAUCUCGGUGGGACCGAAACAUUACGAAGGGAAACAGAGAGAUUACAAUCCCAUCUCGGUGAGACCAAGAUCCCUAUCGGUGAGACCGAUUUGCCUAGGGUUUGUGGCAGUGGCUAUGACAUCUGAACUCGGUGGCGCCGGAUAGAAAGAAUCGGUGGGGUCGAGUUUGACUUUUGGUUUAGGUCAUAUGUGGAUGUGAGAAAGUAAUUGAGGGCUUUGGAGCAUAUCACUAAGCAUUUUGAGCAAGAGCCUCAUUAAGCAACACCUCAUCCCUCCUUGAUAGUAUUGGCUUUUCCUAUAGACUCAAUGUGAUCUUGGAUCACUAAAAUAGAAAAUGUAGAGUCUUGAGCUUUGAGCUUGAGGCAAUCCUUUUGUCCUUAGCAUUUUGAGGGGUCCACUUUUCUCAUCCAUGCCAUGCCAAUCAUUAAGCUUUCCUGAGAUAUUAAUCUUGAAAUAGCAUUAGCUCAAUCAGCUAUAUGUUGUUAGGAAUUACCAAAACCACCUAGGGAUAGUUGCACUUUCAGGGAUUCGAUCACAGAGGGCUUCUACAUCAACUCUAUUGCCCUUCCGAUGAAGCGUGAGUAGUUUACCACCGACCUGCAGGUCCAUAGGUAGUAGCUAGAUGGCUUCUUCUCUCUCUUUGAUUCUCAAUACCAUGUUCUCCUCGAUGUUCCUGGAGCUCUAUCUGAUGUAAUCUUAUGGAUUGUGGAUUUAUGGUCAGCUUAUCUAUGAAUAUUAAUUGAAUCUUCUCUGAAUUCUUUUAUGCAUUAUUUGAUAUCUUUGUAAUUCGAAUUGUCGGUUUGGUUGGGCCAACUAUAUUGGUUUUUCUUGCAAUGGAAGAAGUGCUUAGCUUUGGGUUCAAUCUUGCGGUGUCCUUUCCUAGUGACAGUAGGGGCAGCAAGGACGUAUUGUAUUGUCUCCAUUGAGGAUAAAAAGAUGGGGUUUACAUCAUAUUGCUUGAGUUUAUUCCUCUACAUCAUGUCAUCUUACUUAAUGUGUUACUCUGUUCUUCAUGAACAUAAUACUCUAGAUGCAGGCAGGAGUCGGCCGAUGUGUGGAGUAAUAGUAGUAGAUGCAGAAUCGUUUCAGUCUACUUGACACGGACGUGAUGCCUAUAUUCAUGAUCAUUGCCUUAGAUAUCGUCAUAACUUUGUGCUUUUCUAUCAAUUGCUCGACGGUAAUUUGUUCAUCCACCAUAUUAUUUGCUAUCUUGAGAGAAGCCUCUAGUGAAACCUAUGGCCCCUGGGUCUAUUUUCCAUCAUAUAAGUUUCCGAUCUACUAUUUUCCAUCUUAUUAGUUUCUGAUCUACUAUUUUGCAAUCUUUUACUUUCCGAUCUACAAACAAAAAAUACCAAAAGUAUUUACUUCGUCGUUCAUCUAUCUCUAUCGGAUCUCACUUUUGCAAGUAACCAUGAAGGGAUUGAAAACCCCUUUAUCACGUUGGGUGCAAGUUGUUUGAUUGUUUGUGCAGGUAUUCGGUGAUGUGUGCAUUGUCUCCUACUGGAUUGAUACCUUGGUUCUCAAAAUAAGGGAAAUACUUAUCUCUAAUUUGUUGCACCACCCUUUCCUCUUCAAGGGAAAAACCAACGCAAGCUCAAGAAGUAGCACAUCUCUAGGACGUGGUUCAUUGACGUUGCCCUCAAAAGGUAAUUUGCAAACUUCACAAAAGUCAUACAGCGUCAUCUCCUUAUGCUCAUCACAUAAAUAAAACUCUACCAUGGGUGGUGAUCUCCUAGCAUGAAAGUGAAAUUUUUGCAUGAAAGUAUUAGUGAGUAGGAGGUAUUGAUCACACUUAUCAUGGAGAAAGUCGGUGAUGCCUGCAUUCUCAGCCAAAUAAUAGAAAUCAUCAUAAAUUCCGGCCGCCCCCAAGAAUGUGUCACAUGGCCAUUCACACGGUCGAACCUCCGCGGUGUGAGGAAGGUUGUACUUGGGCUUCUUUUUCUCUUCAUUUUCCUUUUCUUUAGAACCCUGACUUGAAGAGCCUCUUAACAAUCUCCUCAUGUUUUAUUUCUCUGAAAAUUUCUGAAAGUUUUAGUGACUCAAAAUAAAAGUGAACCAAACUCAAUAAAACUAAUAGCAACCACUCCUACAAGUGUCUAGAGGCUAUAUCAUGCAUCAAAACUACUUUGGACCAUAUAAAUUUGACAUGCAAGCUCAAGAACAAGGUCACCACAGCAGCAAACAUUUGCAAUAAAUAAAGCACUAGAAAAAUAUAAUUGGACCAUUGGAGGAGUCACAUACCAAAGAACAAUCCCCCAACACAGUUUUGCAAAUGGAGCUUUGCAUAAGGAGAUCGAAAAUGGCAGCAAGAUGAGCAAGAACACGGGUUUGAGCAACGGGAUGAUUUUUUCUGGAGGAAGACGAGGUGGAUGGGUACUGGAAUAAGUGAGGGGACCCCACGUGAGACCCACAAGGUAGGAGGGCGCGCCCUCCACCCUUGUGGCCCACUGGUGCAUGUUCAGUGCCAAAAAUUCUAAAAUAUUCUACAAAAAAUUAUACUAAAUUUUCAGGGCAUUUGGAGAACUUUUAUUUUCACGACAUUUUUUAUUGCACGGACAAUUCAGAAAACAGACAGAUAAUACUAUUUUUGCUUUAUUUAUUCUAAAUAACAGAAAGUAAAAAAGUGAGUACAUAAAGUUGUGCUUUCUAAAUUCAUCUAUCUCAUGCCCAUCCAAAGGAAUCCAUUAACAAGGUUGAUCAAGUCUUAUUAACAAACUUCUUCUGACUCACAUGAAACCGGAGAAUUUUCAAAUAAUACUAAGUUACCUCAACGGGGAUAUACAUGUCCCCAACAAUAAGAAUAUCAUAUUUCUUUUUGACAGUAGGGAGAGGGAAUUCAAAACCUCCAAUAGUAAUAGUUGAAAUUUUUCCAAUAGAAUUGAUACUAUGAACUUAAGGUUGUUUCUUCAGAAAGUGUACAGUAUGCUCAUUACAAUUAACAUGAAAAGUGACAUUGCCUUUAUUGCAAUCAAUAACAGACCCUACAAUAUUCAAAAGGGUCUACCAAGGAUGAUUGACAUAUUGUCGUCCUCGAGAAUAUCAAGAAUAACAAAGUCCAUUAAGAUAGUAACGUUUGCAACCACAACAGGCACAUCCUCGCAAAUACCGAUGGGUAUAGCAGUUGAUUUAUCGGCCAUUUGCAAAGAAAUUUCAGUAGGUGUCAACUUAUUCAGUUCAAAUCUACGAUAUAAAGAGAAAGGCAUAACACAAACACCGGCUCCCAAAUCACAUAAAGCAGUUUUAACAUAGUUUCUUUUAAUGGAGCGUGGUAUAGUUGGUAUUCCUAGAUCUCCAAGUUUUUUUGGUAUUCCACCCUUAAAAGUAUAAUUAGCAAGCAUGGUAGAAAUUUUAGCUUCUGGUAUCUUUCUUUUAUUUGUAACAAUAUCUUUCAUAUACUUAUGUCCGAGUAAUUGACCACGGGUACCCCGAAGACGGCGAGACAAUAUUUCAAGACAUCGGGGCUAGCAAAGCCCCUCAGUCCGACUGCUCAGGCCGCCCCAGACGGCCCCCUGUCCGACUGCCCGGGCCGACUACGCCAACUAGCCGGCUGCCCGAAGUCAGCGGCUGCAUCGACCCGACACUGACAAGACGGCCAUACCAUGACAUCAUCUACAAUGUACCUUGUCCCUUGGGCAUUGAUUUAGAAAAUGCCCCAGAGGACAAGCAUAACUUAGCUCCCAAGCUACCCAUAGCUUGAGAUAUAAGCUACUCAUUGUAGCUUACAUCUCAAACCACCCCAUGCCCACUUGCCCCCCAUGUGUCACAUCCCUAGUUCUGGUAUGACCUAGACCAACUAGCCAUUUGUGCAUCAUGUUUAAAUUCCAUUUAAAUUUGAAAUGGGGAUUUGUGAAACCCUCAGAAUCAUUUCUGGAAAUGACCCAAAUAAAAAUUGCUCCAAAAAGGUCCAAGAAAAUGUUCAUGUUGUUCUCUAAAAAUAUUGGACAGAGAUGAAAAUCAAACCAAUAUUUUUAGGAGCUCAUAAGUAUUUAUUUUGGGCAUUUGGAAUCAAUGCAGUAAUUAUUUGCUUUGGAUAUAUAAAUGUUAUAUAUAUAUUAUAUGUCCAAAAAUUGUGCCAUUUGUUGAGGAGCUCUCGAAUAAUACCACUAGCCCCUACAAAAAUCGGCAUAAUAAAAUAAAAUGGUUUAGUAUUUUUAUUAAACCAAACAAAUGUCAGAAAAAUAGGAAAGAAACAAAAAUAGAAAGCUUACAUGGCGCUUACCUACAGCCAUCUGGCGCCUCAGCCGGCCCAGUGGUGCGGCCACUGGCCCAACCGCCAAUUGUCGUCCUCCUGGCGACGACAGAAGGACAGGGGCACGGGCCGGCGCGCGCGGCCACGCGUCCGGCCGGGGCCACAUUCCCCGCCACCUCCUGCUUCUCCUCCUCCUCGUCUGGAUGCCCCGCGCGACGCCGCCCCGACCUCUCUCCCUCUCCCUCGCUCUCCCUCCUCCUCUGGUUCUCUUCCGCGCGACCGCCCGAGCACCACCGUCGCUGCCGCACGCCAUUGUCGCGGCCACCGCCUCCCCCUCGCCCUCUCUUCGAGUCCAGAAGCUCCGCCACGUCGUCCUCCACCUCUCCGUCAAGCCACGCGCCUCGGGAGGCCCUGGAGAGCCGCCUCGCCGCCGUCUUCAUCUCCGGUCGCCGGAGAUCGUCUUUGCCGCCCCGUCGUCUUCAACGCGUCCCCGAGCUCGCCGACCGCCUCGUCCAAACCGCCGUGAGCUUCUACGCCAUUCCCCUCUCUCCGUUUAGCCGCCUGCACGCCGUAGCCCCUUUCCCCGCCAUGGCCGUAGCUCCUCGCCGUCGUCUAUGUCGCCGCCCCAGCCACCGCAGCCCACAACCGAGCACGUCACCGUGCUCCUGGUGCCACGAGGGUGCCGCAGAGCCCCUCGGGUGGCCACCCCGUGCCCCACAGCCCGCUCCCGCUUGAAGCUCGUGCUCCGGCUGCCGCCCCGAGCUCCGCCCCGGCGAGCUCCAGCCGUCCUCGCCUCUCCCACUUGCUCCAAAUGACGCAGACAAGGCUCAGCUCCUCGCCCGUGGUCUCCGCCGCCUGAAUGGUCACCGGAGGGCGAUUCCCGUGCCCUCCGCCGCGUUCGGCCUCGCCGGCGGCUAAACGCCGGCAAGUUUGACCGCGUCAACCCCGCUAAUUAAANNNNNNNNNNNNNNNNNNNNNNNNNNNNNNNNNNNNNNNNNNNNNNNNNNNNNNNNNNNNNNNNNNNNNNNNNNNNNNNNNNNNNNNNNNNNNNNNNNNNNNNNNNNNNNNNNNNNNNNNNNNNNNNNNNNNNNNNNNNNNNNNNNNNNNNNNNNNNNNNNNNNNNNNNNNNNNNNNNNNNNNNNNNNNNNNNNNNNNNNNNNNNNNNNNNNNNNNNNNNNNNNNNNNNNNNNNNNNNNNNNNNNNNNNNNNNNNNNNNNNNNNNNNNNNNNNNNNNNNNAACCCCCCCCCCCUCUGUGACAUUGACAAGUGGGCCAGGCCCCUGCUAAUUUUAGUUAGAUGUUAAUUAAACUUAAUUAGCUGAUGAUACUGACAUGUGGGCCCGAGGCCACUAACUAAACUAGAUUAGUUAGUUUAGACACUGACAUAUGGGUCCCACUGGUCAGGUUUGACCUGGACCGACCCGUUGACUCGCUGAUGUCACGCUGACGUCAGGCUGACGCAGUUAUUCAUUUUCUGGAUUUAAGAUUAAUCAGGAAAUUUUAGAAAAUGAUUCAAACUUCAAAAAAUCAUAGAAAUUCAACCGUAGCUCGGAUUGAAAUAAUUUAUAUAUGAAAAAUUAUCAGAAAAAUACAAUCUUUCCAUCUGUACCAGUUUCAUGCAUGACAAAACAACUUAUACCUGCUGUAUAGGUGAAAACAUAUAAAUGGCAUAUAUAAGAGCAUAAUUUGGAGUUGCAUUUGAUCCCUUGGUUCAAAUGGACUUCAUUCAAUUUGAAUACUAGUUGCAUUAGCUCAAACAGCAUCACAUCUUCAUGCCAUGUUCAUGCAUCAUAUUGUUGCAUAUGCUUGUGUAUUGAUUGUUGUCACCGUUCCUUCUCGAUAGGUCCUGCUCCGGAAGUGUUCGAGAGUACCUAUCAGUGAAGCAGUGCCCCCCCUGUUGAUCUACCAGGCAAGCAACCCCCCUUGUUCAUUCCGAUACAAUCCCACUCUCUCGAUCCUGCUCUCUUUUAUUGCAUUAGGACAACAACGAUUCAACUGCUACUUUAUGUUGCGGUAGUUGAACCCAUUCCUCUACAUGACCUGUCAUUGCCACAGUAAAUAGUUGAAACCCACUAGCAUGUGUAGAAGUUGAUUGAGCCAUGUGGUGUUCCUACCAUGCCAUGCUUGCUAUUGCUUAGAGUUGUGUCAGGUCUGAUUCAUCGGGAAUGAAUUGGAGUGGUACGAUAUGUUCUGGUGCUGAGAGUUAAGCGUGUGAACACGAUUUGGUAAAGGUAGCGGUGAGAGGCCAUGUAGGAGUACAUGGUGGGUUGUCUCACUGGAACCGUCCUUAAGCACUGAGUUCCGUGUAUGUUGUCCAAUGACUAGCUACUACCACACAUUGGAAUGCUUAAGUGCCCUCUCGACUUAUUAGCCAACUUGAUCUCUGUCCAGGAGUUGCAAAUAGUUUCUGGCGUUUGUAGGUGGUGUUAGUAGUCUACCAAGUGGCACCCAGCCAGGUGGUCUUGGGACAGACUAGGCACAAGUGGCACGGUGUACCAAGCGUAGAUCCAUCCGGUGAGGUGGGCUUGGGAACCCUACACAUAUCGUUUGGGGCCAUGAGCGACACCCCGGCCGGAUCUCCUUGUGGAUGGAACCCGAAUAGGCGAUAAACCUGGACUAGAGUCUUGUGUGGUUAGUCAGGUCGUGGCCGACACCCUCGCCAGGCUUCCGCUUGAAGGUUGCCGAGAUACAUGAUGUGUAUAUGGUGAUAAAUGGUGAGAGCGUGUGUGAAGAAGUACACCCCUGCAGGGUUAACAUGAUCUAUUCGAAUAGCCGGGUCCGCGGUUAUGAACUUCUUGGAUGCUUACGUGGUACAUAGACAACUUAAAGUGGAUACUCUAAAAUGCUCAAGACAAGUGUGAGUGCUAUGGAUGGCCUUCUCGUCAGGAGACGAGGAUGGAUCCAUAGUAGUGUUUUGAUGUGGUGAUUAGUGGACUCGUGUGCGCUGCCUCAUCUCAAAGAAGUUUCUCAUUGUCGUAGAACAGGAUAGCCACUGAGUCAAAGCUGGCUUGCUGCAACUAAACCCCACAUUACCUUCUUGAUACAAAUGCAUGUAUGAUAGGAUCUGAUGUAAGUCUUGCUGAGUACCUUUGUACUCACGUUUGCUUUAUUUAUGUUUUGCAGGUGAGAUGUCUGUCUCACUAGUAGUACCGCUUGGACUUCGACGAGUAGCUUGUUACCUCAGCUAUGAUCUUGUACCUUGGAGGGACUUGUAGAUAGUCAGGUUUCUUAGCCUUUUUCUUUUGUAGUUGUCUGUACUCAGACAUGUAAUGCUUCCGUUGCUUGUAUGCUCUGAAUGAUGGGUCAUGUGACCCCUGUUUGUAUUAAUGCUAUGUGGCUCUUCUGGGCCUUUAUCUAUAUGAGUUGCGUUAUGUUGUGAUGCCAUGUUGUACAGCACAUACUUGCAUGUGAUGCGUACGUGUGACGUGUAUUGCUAUGUGUGGGAUCCGACAAUCUAGUUGUUUAUCCUUGGCAGCCUCACAUAUGGGGAAAUGUAGUCUAGUGCUUCCUUGAGCCAUAGUAGUCCGCUACAGCCCGGUUCACCGGAGUCCUGCUAGCCCAGCACUACUACUCAGGACACUCGACUGGCUGGCAUGUGUUUCACUUUGUUCAUGUGUCUGUCCCUUCGGGGAAAUGUCACACGGUGACAUCCGGAGUCCUGGUAGCCAGUGCUACAGCCCGGAUUCACACGCUGUUGACCGACAUGCUCGAUGUGAAUCAUGUAUGCCUGUCCCAUAGGUUAGUGCCGCUUUGGGUUCACGACUAGCCAUGUCGGCCCGGGUUCUCUAUCAUAUGGAUGCUAAUGACACAAUCAUAUACGUGAGCCAAUAGGCGCAAACAGUCCCGGGCCAGGGUAAGACGACACACGUGGGGAAUACCGUGCAUGAGGCCGCAAAGUGAUAUGAGGUGUUAUCGGCUAGAUCGAUGUGACUUGGAAUCGGGGUCCCGACAGGUUUGGUAUCAGAGCCUGAUUGCCUGUAGGACUUCCAAGCCAACCUGGUCGAAGUUGAGUCUAGAAAUUCUUUAGUUAUGUAAGGGAAUUGAUUGUGGAAGGGAACGUAAGGCUCUUUUUACUCCUUAUACCUCAUGUCUUCUGAUCUGAGUCAUCCUAUCUUUCCUACGGGGUUAAGGAGCUAGGCUUCCUCUUCUGUCUAUCAGGAUCACGUGUUACUACUCCGUAGUUCUUAGGAUUGGUUGAUCUGAGUCAUAUCCCAGUUCGAGUAUCUCCAGUGUAGCCUGUUUAGUAAUAUUUUUGAACCUUGAGUGAUGAUGUUGAGGUUGGUGCUACCCGUCUUUGCAGAAUGUUUCAUUUUGAGCAUUCUACUGCCGUUAUGCUGCCGGAAUUGUUCUAAGAGUUUGAGAGAUACUAAAUUCUUGUGCUACCCUCUGCAACCUAUAGUUGAUGCUGAAUCCAUCCUUGUCUUCCUUGGUUUCGUUCUUCAGGAUGUUGCCGGUUAACCGAAGUUCUAUUGCUCGUAGCCGGAACUACGGAGAUGGUAGGGAUGAGGAUCCUCCCGAUCAGUCUUCGUUGGCAGAGUUCAUGCUAGAGAUGGAGAGGAACAAGCGUGAGUCUAACCGCUUGCUAGCACGUAUUGAGGAGAACACCUCCCAGCAGCACAAAGAGUUUGUGUCCAUUCAUGACUUCAUUGGCUUGAAACCACCUACCUUCCAUCAUUCCAUUGAACCACUUGAUGCAGAUGACUGGCUCCGUAGUAUCACACACAAGCUGCAUUCUGCGAACAUAGCUGAAGGUGACAAGGUCACCUAUGCUACUUAUCACCUGGAAGGUCCUGCUAGUAUUUGGUGGCAGAACUAUGAGGCUAUGCUUCCAGCUGGCCAGAUACCCACCUGGAGAGAUUUCAUUGAGGCUUUUCGCGAGCAUCACAUCCCUCAGGCUCUCAUUGACCGCAAGAGAGAAGAGUUUUGUAGUUUCACCCAGAGUAAGAUGGCUGUUGAUGCUUAUAGUAGAGAAUUUGAGAACCUUGCCCGCUAUGCUACAGAAGAAGUGUCCACAGAUGCCAAGAAGCAGGCUAGGUUCCGGAAGGGUCUCAACCCCAAGUUGCGUCGUGAUCUCCACUUGCAUCAUUGCAAUACAUUCCACGCUCUUGUGAACAAGGCCAUUAAUGCAGAGAUAGCUCAACUCACCUACAAGGAAUCUCGUAAACACACCCGUGAUUUGGGUUCUUCCUCCGGUUCUAGUUCUCAGAAGCGCCGGAUUUGGGUUCCGAACUCUGCUCUUCCACCUGGUUAUACACCAAGGCCUUCUUGUGUGUCACCUCACACAGUUCAACCGUAUGCUACACCCAUGCCUAUUGGUAGACCACUUGUCAAUGCGGGUCCUUGUCCUACCUCCAAGAUCUAUUACAAGUGCGGAGAGCCAGGCCACAUUGCCCGUAUUUGCACUCAGACCCGUGUUGCUCCACCCCAGCCCGAGAAGUCUGUUGGCCGUGGCAGUAAACCUUCACACCAGAUGAUCAGAGCCAAGUCAGCUCCCAGUGAACUUGGACGUGUGCAUCACGUCUCAGCUAAAGACGCUCAUGAUGAUCCAGAUGUCGUUCUUGGUACACUCCUUGUCAACUAUCACCCAGCUUCGGUUCUAUUCGAUACUGGGGCAUCUCACUCCUUCAUUUCCGAAAGUUACGCCCGUUUUCACGACAUGUCAUUUUGUGAUAUGCCCUCCCCACUACUCAUUCAAACCCCUGGAUCCAAGUGGCAAACUUCUAGGAUAAGUUAUGGCAAUGAAAUACAUGUUGACAGACUUGUAUUUCUAGCUUCCUUGAUAUCCCUCAAGUCUUCAGAUAUUAACAUCAUCUUGGGUAUGGACUGGAUGAAAGCUCAUUAUGCCAAGAUUGACUGUUACACCAGGUAUGUUCAGCUCACACACCCCUCUGGCAAGAUAGUCACUGUCUCCACCAAAAUUGCAAGGCGUCAACUAUAUUCUCUAAAUGCCAGCCCUCUUCCAGACCUUGAAGAUAUCCCGGUAGUCCGCGACUUUCCGGAUGUCUUUCCAGAGGAACUACCAGGUAUUCCACCUGACAGAUAUGUAGAGUUUGUUAUAGAUCUUAUCCCCGGAACCGCCCCAAUUUCUAGGAGACCUUACAAGAUGGCACCCUUAGAGCUAGCCGAGCUUAAGAAACAACUUGAUGAGUCCUUGCAAAAGGGUUUCAUCCGUCCUAGUUCUUCUCCCUGGGCUUGCCCCGUUCUCUUCGUCAAGAAGAAGGAUGGUACGGACCGAAUGGUUGUAGAUUAUCGUCCCGUUAAUUUGGUCACGAUAAAGAACAAGUAUCUGCUCCCCGGGAUCAAUGAUCUGUAUGAUCAGGUCGCUGGAUCCUUAGUCUUCUCCAAGAUGGAUUUGAGGUUAGGCUACCACCAAAUCAAGAUCAGAAACGGGGACAUUCCUAAGACGGCUUUCGUCACUCGUUAUGGCUAGUACGAGUACACCGUCAUGUCCUUCGGUCUAACCAAUGCUCCAGCUACAUUCUCCCGCUUGAUGAACUCGAUCUUCAUGGAGUACCUAGAUAAGUUUGUCGUGGUUUACCUCGAUGAUAUCCUUAUUUACUCGAAGAACGAGGAAGAGCAUGCCGAACAUCUUAGACUUGUGUUAGAAAAACUCGGAGAACACCGCCUUUACGCCAAGUUCUCCAAGUGCGAAUUUUGGUUGCCAGAAGUGACCUAUCUCGGCCACGUAAUCUCUGGUAAGGGCAUUGCUGUCAAUCCCGAAAGAGUUCAAGCCGUUCUUGAUUGGAGUCCACCUGAAACGGUUAAGCAAGUUAGGAGUUUCCUUGGCCUAGCCAGUUAUUGUCGCCGCUUCGUUGAGAACUUCUCCAAAGUGGCCAAACCUCUCACGGAACUUCUCAGGAAAGAUAAAAAGUUUGAGUGGUCCCCACAGUGUGAGUACAGUUUUCAGGAACUAAAAAGACGCCUGACUUCUGCUCCCGUACUUGUGCCACCGGAUUUCACUAAAGACUUUGUUAUCUACUGCGAUGCCUCACGACAGGGACUAGGUUGCAUCCUUAUGCAAGAUCGCCAUGUGAUUGCCUAUGCAUCUCGAUAGUUGCAUCCACAUGAGGAGAAUUAUCCUACACAUGAUCUAGAGCUUGCAGCCGUAGUCUAUGCACUUAAGACCUGGCGACAUUACCUUCUCGGUAAACAUUGUGAGAUAUACACCGACCACCAGAGUCUCAAGUACAUCUUCACCCAACCAGAUUUGAACCUUAGGCAAAGACGUUGGUUGGAGUUGAUCUCAAAUUACGACUUAGGAAUUACCUAGACCCCAGGCAAGGGGAAUGUCAUGGCUGAUGUGCUAAGUCGUAAGUCCUAUUGCAACAAUCUCAUGUUGCAACAGGGCCAGCCACUUCUCCAUGAGGAAUUAUGUAAGCUUAACCUUCACAUUGCUCCUCACGGAUUCCUUUCUACCUUGGUGGCGAAACCUACCCUUGGGGAUCAGAUCAUUACUGAUCAGAAGUUUGAUAGGGGUGUUAUCCGCAUCAAGAGAAACAUUAAGAAGGGAGUUGGUGGAUUUUCUCUAUGGAUGAUCGAGGUGUUGUUUUCUUUGAGAAUCGCUUGGUGAUUCCCAAGAACCAACAUCUGCGACAACUGAUUCUUAAGGAGGCACAUGAAUCCCCUCUCACGAUUCAUCCCAGUAGUACUAAGAUGUAUCAGGACCUACGCCAGAGGUUCUGGUGGACUAGGAUGAAGAGAGAAAUUGCUCAGUUCAUUGCUAACUAUGACGUUUGUCGCCGCGUUAAGGCAGAGCAUCAAAGGCCUGCUGGCACUCUUCAGCCUUUAGCUAUUCCUGAAUGGAAAUGGGAUAAAGUUGGUAUGGACUUCAUCACCGGCUUUCCCAGGACCAAGAGAGGGAAUAAUGCUAUCUUCGUGGUCAUUGAUCGUCUCUCCAAAGUGGCGCACUUCCUACCUGUUCGAGAGAGUAUCACUGCUAGUCAGCUAGCUGACUUAUAUAUUUCUCGAAUAGUAUCACUUCACGGUGUUCCACUAGAGAUCAAUUCAGACCGUGGCAGUCUUUUCACUUCUCACUUCUGGGAGAGUUUCCAAACUGCCAUGGGAACCCAUCUUUCCUUCAGUACCGCUUUCCACCCUCAAUCAAGUGGUCAGGUGGAAAGGGUCAACCAAAUUCUCGAAGACAUGCUUACAGCUUGUGUUAUCUCCUUCGGUAUGGAUUGGGAGAAGUGUCUUCCCUUCGCCGAGUUUGCUUAUAACAAUAGCUACCAGUCCAACCUCAAGAAAGCUCCUUUUGAGGUUCUGCAUGGACGAAGAUGUCGAACACCUUUGAACUGGUCAGAAACCGGUGAGAGACAAUUUUUUGGACUGGAUAUGAUCCAGGAGGUAGAAGAGCAAGUUCGCAUCAUUCGUGAGAAUUUGAAAACAGCCCAAUCUCGUCAAAAGAGCCAGUAUGAUCGUCAUCAUAAGGAAGUGGCUUAUGAAAUUGGCGACAAAGCUUACCUUCGGAUUACCCCUUUGAAGGGUACCCAUCGUUUCGGUAUCAAGGGCAAGUUGGCUCCUCAUUACAUUGGUCCCUUUCUCAUUCUCGCUAAAUGAGGAGAGGUUGCCUACCAGUUGGAACUACCACCACAUCUUUCUCGAGUUCAUGAUGUCUUCCACAUCUCUCAACUCAGGCGUUGCUUCUCGGAUCCCAUCCGUGGAGUGGACCACGAAACGCUUGAUCUCCAAGAUAACCUCACUUAUCGAGAGUACCCUGUCUGCAUACUUGAUCAAGCAGAGCGUGUCACCCGACGUCAUAAUAUCAAGUUUCUCAAGGUUCAGUGGUCUCAUCAUUUCGAGAGAGAAGCUACUUGGGAGCGUGAAGAUCGUCUUCGACUUGAGUACCCCACUUUCUUUCCGUCGACUCCUGAAUCUCGGGACGAGAUUCUUCCAAGUGGGGGCGAGUUGUCACAUCCCUAGUUCUGGUAUGACCUAGACCAGCUAGCCAUUUGUGCAUCAUGUUUAAAUUCCAUUUAAAUUUGAAAUGGGGAUUUGUGAAACCCUCAGAAUCAUUUCUGGAAAUGACCCAGAUAAAAAUUGCUCCAAAAAGGUCCAAGAAAAUGUUCAUGUUGUUCUCUAAAAAUAUUGGACAGAGAUGAAAAUCAAACCAAUAUUUUUAGGAGCUCAUAAGUAUUUAUUUUGGGCAUUUGGAAUCAAUGCGGUAAUUAUUUGCUUUGGAUAUAUAAAUGUUAUAUAUAUAUUAUAUGUCCAAAAAUUGUGCCAUUUGUUGAGGAGCUCUAGAAUAAUACCACUAGCCCCUACAAAAAUUGGCAUAAUAAAAUAAAAUGGUUUAGUAUUUUUAUUAAACCAAACAAAUGUCAGAAAAAUAGGAAAGAAACAAAAACAGAAAGCUUACCUGGCGCUUACCUACAGCCAUCUGGCGCCUCAGCCGGCCCAGUGGUGCGGCCACUGGCCCAACCGCCAACCGUCGUCCUCCUGGCGACGACAGAAGGACAGGGGCACGCGCCGGCGCGCGCGGCCACGCGUCCGGCCGGGGCCACGUUCCCCGCCACCUCCUGCUUCUCCUCCUCCUCGUCUGGAUGCCCCGCGCGAUGCCACGCGCCGCCCCUACCUCUCUCCCUCUCCCUCGCUCUCCCUCCUCCUCUGGUUCUCUUCCGCGCAACCGCCCGAGCACCACCGUCACCGCCGCACGCCAUUGUCGUGGCCACCGCGUCCCCCUCGCCCUCUCUUCGAGUCCAGAAGCUCCGCCACAUCGUCCUCCACCUCUCCGUCAAGCCACGCGCCUCGAGAGGCCCUGGAGAGCCGCCUCGCCGCCGUCUUCAUCUCCGGUCGCCGGAGAUCGUCUUCGCCGCCCCGUCGUCUUCAACGCGUCCCCGAGCUCGCCGACCGCCUCGUCCAAACCGCCGUGAGCUUCUACGCCAUUCCCCUCUCUCCUUUUAGCCGCCUACACGCCGUAGCCCCUUUCGGCGCCGUGGCCGUAGCUCCUCGCCGUCAUCUAUGUCGCUGUCGUCGCCCUGGCCACCGCAGCCCGCAACCGAGCACGUCACCGUGCUCCUGGUGCCACGAGGGUGCCGCAGAGCCCCUCGGGUGGCCACCCCGUGCCCCACAGCCCGCUCCCGCUUGAAGCCCGUGCUCCGGCCGCCGCCCCGAGCUUCGCCCCGGCGAGCUCCGGCCGUCCCCGCCUCUCCCACUUGCUCCAAAUGACGCAGACGAGGCUCAGCUCCUCACCCAUGGUCUCCGCCGCCUGAAUGGUCACCGGAGGGCGAUUCCCUUGCCCUCCGCCGCGUUCGGCCUCGCCGGCGGCUAAACGCCGNNNNNNNNNNNNNNNNNNNNNNNNNNNNNNNNNNNNNNNNNNNNNNNNNNNNNNNNNNNNNNNNNNNNNNNNNNNNNNNNNNNNNNNNNNNNNNNNNNNNNNNNNNNNNNNNNNNNNNNNNNNNNNNNNNNNNNNNNNNNNNNNNNNNNNNNNNNNNNNNNNNNNNNNNNNNNNNNNNNNNNNNNNNNNNNNNNNNNNNNNNNNNNNNNNNNNNNNNNNNNNNNNNNNNNNNNNNNNNNNNNNNNNNNNNNNNNNNNNNNNNNNNNNNNNNNNNNNNNNNNNNNNNNNNNNNNNNNNNNNNNNNNNNNNNNNNNNNNNNNNNNNNNNNNNNNNNNNNNNNNNNNNNNNNNNNNNNNNNNNNNNNNNNNNGGCCCCUGCUAAUUUUAGUUAGAUGUUAAUUAAACUUAAUUAGCUGAUGAUACUGACAUGUGGGCCCGAGGCCACUAACUAAACUAGAUUAGUUAGUUUAGACACUGACAUAUGGGUCCCACUGGUCAGGUUUGACCUGGACCGACCCGUUGACUCGCUGAUGUCACGCUGACAUCAGGCUGACGCAGUUAUUCAUUUUUUGGAUUUAAGAUUAAUCAGGAAAUUCUAGAAAAUGAUUCAAACUUCAAAAAAUCAUAGAAAUUCAACCGUAGCUCGGAUUGAAAUAAUUUAUAUAUGAAAAAUUAUCAGAAAAAUACAAUCUUUCCAUCUGUACCAGUUUCAUGCAUGACAAAACAACUUAUACCUGCUGUAUAGGUGAAAACAUAUAAAUGGCAUAUAUAAGAGCUUAAUUUGGAGUUGCAUUUGAACCCUUGGUUCAAAUGGACUUCAUUCAAUUUGAAUACUAGUUGCAUUAGCUCAAACAGCAUCACAUCUUCAUGCCAUGUUCAUGCAUCAUAUUGUUGCAUAUGCUUGUGUAUUGAUUGUUGUCACUGUUCCUUCUCGAUAGGUCCUGCUCCGGAAGUGUUCGAGAGUACCUAUCAGUGAAGCAGUGCCCCCCUGUUGAUCUACCAGGCAAGCAACCCCCCUUGUUCGUUCCGAUACAAUCCCACUCUCUCGCUCCUGCUCUCUUUUAUUGCAUUAGGACAACAACGAUUCAACUGCUACUUUAUGUUGCGGUAGUUGAACCCAUUCCUCUACAUGACCUGUCAUUGCCACAGUAAAUAGUUGAAACCCACUAGCAUGUGUAGAAGUUGAUUGAGCCAUGUGGUGUUCCUACCAUUCCAUGCUUGCUAUUGCUUAGAGUUGUGUCAGGUCUGAUUCAUCGGGAAUGAAUUGGAGUGGUACGAUAUGUUCUGGUGCUGAGAGUUAAGCGUGUGAACACGAUUUGGUAAAGGUAGCGGUGAGAGGCCAUGUAGGAGUACAUGGUGGGUUGUCUCACUGGAACCGUCCUUAAGCACUGAGUUCCGUGUAUGUUGUCCAAUGACUAGCUACUACCACACAUUGGAAUGCUUAAGUGCCCUCUCGACUUAUUAGCCAACUUGAUCUCUGUCCAGGAGUCACAAAUAGUUUUUGGUGUUUGUAGGUAGUGUUAGUAGUCUACCAAGUGGCACCCAGCCAGGUGGGCUUGGGACAGACUAGGCACAAGUGGCACGGUGUACCAAGCAUAGAUCCAUCCGGCGAGGUGGGCUUGGGAACCUUGCACAUAUUGUUUGGGGCCAUGAGCGACACCCCGGCCGGAUCUCCUUGCUGAUGGAACCCGAAUAGGCGAUAAACCUGGACUAGAGUCUUGUGUGGUUAGUCAGGUCAUGGCCGACACCCUCGCCAGGCUUCCACUUGAAGGUUGCCGAGAUACAUGAUGUGUAUAUGGUGAUAAAUGGUGAGAGCGUGUGUGAAGAAGUACACCCCUGCAGGGUUAACAUGAUCUAUUCGAAUAGCCGGGUCCGCGGUUAUGGACUUCUUGGAUGCUUACGUGGUACAUAGACAACUUAAAGUGGAUACUCUAAAAUGCUCAAGACAAGUGUGAGUGCUAUGGAUGGCCUUCUCGUCAGGAGACGAGGAUGGAUCCAUAGUAGUGUUUUGAUGUGGUGAUUAGUGGACUCGUGUGCGCUGCCUCAUCUCAAAGAAGUUUCUCAUUGUCGUAGAACAGGAUAGCCACUGAGUCAAAGCUGGCUUGCUGCAACUAAAUCCCACAUUACCUUCUUGAUACAAAUGCAUGUAUGAUAGGAUCUAAUGUAAGUCUUGCUGAGUACCUUUGUACUCACGUUUGCUUUAUUUAUGUUUUGCAGGUGAGACGUCUAUCUCACUAGUAGUACCGUUUGGACUUCGACGAGUAGCUUGUUACCUGAGCUACGAUCUUGUACCUUGGAGGGACUUGUAGAUAGUCAGGUUUCUUAGCCUUUUUCUUUUGUAGUUGUCUGUACUCAGACAUGUAAUGCUUCCGUUGCUUGUAUGCUCUGAAUGAUGGGUCAUGUGACCCCUGUUUGUAUUAAUGCUAUGUGGCUCUUCUGGGCCUUUAUCUAUAUGAGUUGCAUUUUGUUGUGAUGCCAUGUUGUACAACACAUACUUGCAUGUGAUGUGUACGUGUGACGUGUAUUGCUAUGUGUGGGAUCCGACAAUCUAUUGUUUAUCCUUGGCAGCCUCACAUAUGGGGAAAUGUAGUCUAGUGCUUCCUUGAGCCAUAGUAGUCCGCUACAGCCCGGUUCACCGGAGUCCUGCUAGCCCAGCACUACUACUCAGGACACUCGACUGGCCGGCAUGUGUUUCACUUUGUUCCUGUGUCUGUCCCUUCGGGGAAAUGUCACGCGGUGAUAUCCGGAGUCCUGGUAGCCAGUGCUACAGCCCGAAUUCACACGCUGUUGACCGACAUGCUCGAUGUGAAUCAUGGAUGCCUGUCCCCAUAGGUUAGUGCCGCUUUGGGUUCACGACUAGCCAUGUCGGCCCGGGUUCUCUGUCAUAUGGAUGCUAAUGACACAAUCAUAUACGUGAGCCAAUAGGCGCAAACGGUCCCGGGCCAGGGUAAGACGACACCCGUGGGGAAUACCGUGCGUGAGGCCGCAAAGUGAUAUAAGGUGGUACCGGCUAGAUCGAUGUGACUUGGAAUCGGGGUCCCGACACCAUGCCACUACCUAGCUUAGGAAGUAAGCUACCCCAAGCCUAUAUAUAUGGGCACAUAUCCAUCCAUCCACUGGGCGACUCACGCACACUCAUUCGGCCAGAGGCCACGGCCACCAUGCCACACGCUAGCUAGCUCAUUGCUACUGCUCUCAGUCCAAUACAGCUCCAGGAGCACUCUGUACUGCGAUGUACUCCACAUAUAUACAGACAUGCAGGAGUAGGGGUAUUAUCUCUCUCGAGAGCCCCAAACCUGGCUAAAUUAGCGCGUGCUACUCGCAUACCCGUCCCCGGAUAUUCCACAACAGUCUUGCCCUCACCUCAAGCCAUCAUGUGGCAUCUGCCGACUCGCGGUAUCCCCUGCCGACUGACGCGAGAAUACUCCAACUGUUAGCGCCCACCAUGGGGUGAGCUGCCGCUGGAACCGCGGUCCGGGCAAGACCAUCUUCGUCAUCAUCGUCGCGGCGUCGUGCCGUCUCUCCGGUAGCGCUUGGGGGCUUGACAUCGACCCGCCCCCGGAGCGGCCGCGCGGGACGGCGCGUCCUCGCUGUCGGCAUCGCCCUCUUCGUCACCACCACCGCAACAUUGCCGUCUCCCGCGCGUCCGCGUGCCACAUNNNNNNNNNNNNNNNNNNNNNNNNNNNNNNNNNNNNNNNNNNNNNNNNNNNNNNNNNNNNNNNNNNNNNNNNNNNNNNNNNNNNNNNNNNNNNNNNNNNNNNNNNNNNNNNNNNNNNNNNNNNNNNNNNNNNNNNNNNNNNNNNNNNNNNNNNNNNNNNNNNNNNNNNNNNNNNNNNNNNNNNNNNNNNNNNNNNNNNNNNNNNNNNNNNNNNNNNNNNNNNNNNNNNNNNNNNNNNNNNNNNNCCCCACGCCAGCUCCGCCUCGCCUGGCCACCUGGCUCCGAGCACGCGCAGCCGGUCGCCCGCGCACCGCUCCGACCCGUGCACCCCGCCUCUACUACAGCUACCCGAGCCCCCGUCGCUGGCUGCACCUCCCGCUUCGUGUGCUUCGGUUCGGCUGUGCGAGCAAAAAGAAAGAAAAGAAAGAGAUGUCGACUGAGAAAAUUCAGCGAUCGGGUGCUAAAAAAAUGUACGUCUGGCUGCCCACAGCCGGCUCACGAGAAAAAGAAGCGUCCGGCUGCCAACAGCCAGUGAAAAAGAAGUAGUCGGCCAGAGAAAAGACAAAACAUCCGGCUGGCCCGUCCGCCUGCUUCGCUACUCAGACGAUCGGCCGCGACCUGCACUGCCGGCUGUGCCAGGCCGGCUCGACCGCCUCCAGCCCAGCCGCCCGUCCGCCUCGACGCCCGUUCGGUCGGACCCGACCAGCCGGGACCCACUUCGAGCACCGGGAGGCUCGAAGGCUUCACCCAGCGGGUGCGCCAGUGCACUCCGCAAGCGCUGAGACGCGCCGGCUGUCUCCGACGACUUCUGCCUCGCCUACACGAAAACCAAUGUGAGCUCCUCACCCGCAUAUUUUUGCACCGCGCAAACACGGAUAACCUCGAGCAAUGCUCGAGGGGCUAUCUCUGCAUUUUAUUAUAGUUGCACUACUGUUCGCCCCGGCGCCAGCCAGAGCUGGCCCAGGGCUGGCCGCUUGGCCUGAGACGUUCGUUCCCACGGACGGCUUAGUAGCGUGCACGAUACCAAAGGCUCACUCUUAGGUACAGACCGCGGAGCGGCUGUCCGGCUAGCAAGAGCAAACGCUGGAGGCCACCCACAUGAAAAACGUCUCGGGAGAAAAAACGGUCCACGCGACCCGGCCGUUUGCUUUAUGAGUAUCUGCUCGGUCGAAUCUUCUCCCAGAGUCUGAGUAUUGUGCGCUUCACUCCGCGGCCCACUCUCAGCCACAGACCACAGAGCGGUUGUCCAGCUAAUUAAGCGAGAGCACAAGCCAAAGAGCGAAGGGGACAUGAAAAAGGUUGAAGGGGGCUCGAACGAAACCGAGUCGGCACCCUUCGCAUAAAACUUGCAAUGCUAAAAGCAAACAUUUGGUAUAUCUGCGUGGACAAACUUCAUCUUUUGCAUGAUCAUUUCCAGGGGGAACCCCCCCCCCUCCUCGCUCGGAGUCUCGGAGGCUACACCCAGCGGGUGUGCUGGCGUGCCCCCACUAGAAGCAAGCCGCGCCGGCUGCAGCCCGCAGCCGGCUGUCAUCGACAACAUCAGUCGGCGGACUUCGCGUCCACGCCCGACAACAUCAGUCGGCGGACACCGCAUCCGCGCCCGACAACAUCAGUCGGCGAACCCCGCGUCCGUGCCCGACACCACUAGUUGGCGGACGCCGCGUCCGCUCCUGACAGCAUCAGUCGGCGGACUCCGUGUCCGCGCCCAACAACAUCAGUCGGCGGACUCUGCGUCCGUGCCCGACAGCAUCAGUCGGUGGACGCCGCGUUCGCGCCCGACAGCCUCCGUCGGCGGAACCCGCGUCCGCGCCCGACAGCCUAAGUCGGCGGACCCCGCGUCCGCACUCGACAGCACCAGCCGACGGACUUCGUGUCCGCGCCCGUCACCCUCGACGUUACCGUCGGCUUCAUCGUCAACAACAAGACCCUCUGCCCAACUUUCCAAAGUUGCCCGGAGGCUCGGAGGCUACACCCAGCGGGUGCGCUUGUGCGCCCCCACUCGAAACAUGUCGCGCCUGUUGCACGCCCGCCGCCUGCUGCAACCGGCCCCUCGACGCCAUCGUCUACACCAACAACCAUGAAAAGCCUCCACCCAACUUUUUCAAGUUGCCCGGAGGCUCGAAGGCUACACCCAGCGGGUGCGCUUGCGUGCCCCCGCCGGAAGCAAGCCACGCCGGCUGCAGCCCGCAACCGGUCGUCAUCGACAUCUUCUACAUCAACACCCGCUAAAAAACCUCCGCCCAACUUUGCCAAGUUGCCCGGAGGCUCGGAGACUACUGUCGGAGUAAUUGACCACGGGUACUCCGAAGACGGCGAGACAAUAUUUCAAGACAUCGGGACUAGCAAAGCCCCUCAGUCUGACUGCUCAGGCCGCCCCAGAAGGCCCCCUGUCCGACUGCCCGGGCCGACUGCGCCAACCAACCGGCUGCCCAAAGUCAGUCGCUGCAUCAACCCGACACUGACAAGACAGCCGUACCGCGACGUCAUCUACAGUGUACCUUGUCCCUGGGUAUUGAUUUAUAAAAUGCCCCAGGGGACAAGCAUAGCUUAGCUCCCAAGCUACCCAUAGCUUGAGAUGUAAGCUACUCAUUGUAGCUUACAUCUCAAGCCACCCCCAUGCCCACUUGCCCCCCAUGCCACUACCUAGCUUAGGAAGUAAGCUACCCCACAAGCCUAUAUAUAUGGGCACAUAUCCAUCCAUCCACAGAGCGACUCACGCACACACUCAUUCGGCCAGAGGCCACGGCCACCAUGCCACACACUAGUUAGCUAGCUCAUUGCUACUGCUCUCAGUCGAAUACAGCCCCAGGAGCGCUUUGUACUGCGAUGUACUCCACAUAUAUACAGACAUGAGGGAGUAGGGGUAUUAUCUCUCCAGAGAGCCCCGAACGUGGGUAAACUAGCGCGUGCUACUCGCAUACCCAUCCCCGGAUAUUCCACAGCAGUCUUGCCCUCACCUCAAGCCACCCGGUGGCAUCUGUCGACUCGCGGUAUCCCCUGCCGACUGACGCAAGAAUACUCCGACAACUUUGCUAAGGAGACAUUUUCAGAAUAUUAUUCAAAUGCAUACGCAAAAAAAAGAUAGGUCUAAUCAUUUCAGCAAAGCGCUCAAAAUCCCCAUCAUCCUUUUUCUUGGAUGGUUUAGGAGGAAAGGGCAUGGGUUUCUGAACCCAUGGUUCUCUUUCUUUACCAUGUUUUCUAGCAAUGAAGUCUCUCUUAUCAUAACGUUGAUUCUUUGGUUGUGGGUUAUCAAGAUCAACAGCAGGUUCUACCUCCACAUCAUUGUCAUUACUAGGUUGAGCAUUAACAUGAACUUCAUCAUUAACAUUAUCACUAGGUUCAUGUUCAUCACCAGAUUCUGUCUCGGCAUCAGAAAUAGAAAUAUCAUUGGGAUUCUCAGGUGUGUCUAUAACAGGUUCACUAGAAGCAUGCAAAGUCCAACCAGUUUUCUUUUUGUUUUUAUUACUAGGAGGUCUAGGUGCAUCAGUGUUAAUUCUCUGAGAAUCUUGCUCAACUCUCUUAGGAUGGCCCUCGGGAUACAAAGGUUCCUGAUUCAUUUUACCACCUCUAGUCAUAACUCUAACAACAUUAUCAUUGUUCUAACUAUUCAUCUGAUUGAGCAAAUCAUCAUGUGCCUUAAGUACUUGUUCUUCUUGAGUUUUAACCAUGGAAGCAUGCUUACUAAUAAGCUUAAGAUCAUUAACAGUUCUACUCAUAUAAUCACCCAAGCAGUCAAGCAUGUAAGCAUUACGUUUCAAUUGUCUACUAACAUAAGCAUUGAAAUUUAGUUGUUUAACAAUAAAAUUAUCAAACUCAUCCAAGCAUUGACUAGCAGACUUAUUAUGAGGAAUAUCACCUUCAUCAAAUCUAUAGAGAGAAUUUACCUCUACUACCUGUGUCGGGUUAUCAAGACCAUGUAUUUCUUCAAUAGGCGGUAAAUUCUUAACAUCUUCAACUUUAAUACAUUUUUCUUUCAUUGAUUUCUUUGCCUCUUGCAUAUCUCCAAGACUGAGAAAUAGAAUACCUCUUUUCUUCAGAUUUGGCUUAGGAGUUGGUUAAGGAAGUGUCCAAUCAUUACUCAAUAUAUUAUUCCUUAGCAAUUCAGCUUGCUUAACAGUUCGUUCGCUGAAAACACAACCAGCCCAACUAUCUAGGUGGUCCCUAGAAGCAUUGGUUAGUCCAUUAUAAAAGAUAUCAAGUAUUUCAUUUUUCUUGAUAGGAUGAUGAGGCAAAGCAUUAAGUAAUUGGAGAAGCCUCCCCCAAGCUUGUGGGAGACUCUCUUCUUCAAAUUGCAUAAAGUUAAAUAUUUCCUUUAAAGCAGCUUGUUUCUUAUGAGCAUGGAAAUAUUUUUCAGAGAAGAUGUAAAUCAUAUCCUGGGGACUGCGCACACAACUAGGAGCAAGAGAAUUAAACCAUAACUUAGCAUCACCCUUUAACGAGAAAGGAAACAAUUUAAGAAUAUAGUAAUAGCAAAAAAUUUCCUCAUGAGCAAAUAGGGUGGCUAUAUCAUUCAAUUUAGUAAGAUGUGCCACAAUAGUUUCAGAUUCAUAACCAUGGAAAGGAUCAGAUUCAGCCAAGGUAAUUAACUCAGGAUCGAUAGAGAAUUCAUAAUCUUUAUCAGUAACAAAGAUAGGUGAAGUAGCAAACUUAGGAUCAUAUCGCAUUCUAGCAUUCAAAGACUUUUCUUUCCACUUGCAUAAUAAUUUCUUAAGAUCAUCUCUAUCCUUACAAGCAAGAAAGUCCCUAGCUACCUCUCCAUCCAUAACAUAACCCUCAGGCAUAACAUGAAGUUCAUAUCUAGGAGAGCUAGUCUUAUCAGGUGUUUCAAAGUUUCCAGUUUCAAUAUUUCAUCGGUUUCAGAAAUAUCAUCAUCUUCAGCAUAAUCAAUAGUUCUAACUCUAGCAAGAUGUUCAUCAAGUAAUUCACCCAGUGGCACAGUUUUAUCAAGCAAAGUAAUAGCAUCAUAAGCAUCAUUCAUAGUAGAAGUAGCAUCAUCAAUAACAUGCGACAUGUCAGAAUCAAUAGCAGGUGUAGGUGUCGCAAGCUUACUCAAAACAAAAGGUGAAUCAAGUGCAGAGCUAGAUGGCAGUUCCUUACCUCCCCUCAUAGUAGAGGGAUAGAUCUUGGUUCUAGUAUCUUUAAAAUUCCUCAUAGUGACCAACAGAUAUAAAUCCCAAGUGACUCAGAGAAUAGAGCUAUGUUUCCUGGCAACGGCGCCGGAAAAAGGUCUUGAUAACCCACAAGUAUAGGGGAUCACAACAGUUUUUGAGGGUAGAGUAUUCAACCCAAAUUUAUUGAUUUGACACAAGGGGAGCCAAAUAAUAUUCUCAAGUAUUAGCAGUUGAGUUGUCGGUUCAACCACACCUGAAAGACUUAAUAUCUGCACCAAAGUAUUUAGUAGCAAAUUAGUGUGGAAGUAAUGGUAACAGUGGCAAAACUAACAGUAGCAGUUUUGUAGCAAUUGUAACAGUGGCAAUUGCAAAGUAACAUAGCAAAGAUCGAUAUGUGUAAAGCUCGUAGGCAAUGGAUCAAUGAUGGAUAAUUAUGUUGGAUGGCAUUCAUCAUGCAACAGUUAUAACCUAGGGUGACACAGAACUAGCUCCAAUUCAUCAAUAUAAUGUAGGCAUGUAUUCCGAAUAUAGUCAUACAUGCUUAUGGAAAAGAACUUGCAUGACAUUUUUUGUUCUACCCUCCCGUGGCAACGGGUACCUAAUGGAAACUAAGGGAUAUUAAGGCCUCCUUUUAAUAGAGAACCGGACCAAAGCAUUAGCACUUAGUGAAUACAUGAACUCCUCAAACUACGGUAAUCACCGGAAAGAAUCCCAAUUAUUGUCACCUUGGGGCAUGCAGAUCAUAACUCGUAAUAGGUGUCUACAACUUGCAAGAUAGGAUCAAGAACACAAAUAUAUUCAUGAAAACAUAAUAGGUUCAGAUCAUAAAUCAUGGCACUCUGGCCCUAGUGACAAGCAUUAAGCAUAGCAAAGUCAUAGCAACAUCAAUCUCAGAACAUAGUGGAUACUAGGGAUCAAACCCUAACAAAACUAACUCGAUUACAUGAUAAAUCUCAUCCAACCCAUCACCGUCCAGCAAGGCUACGACGGAAUUACUCACGCACGAUGGUGAGCAUCAUGAAAUUGGUGAUGGAGGAAGGUUGGUGAUGAUGAUGGCGAUGGAUUUCGCUCUCUGGAGCCCUGAACAGACUCUAGAUCUGCCCUCCCGAUGAAGAACAGGAGGUGGCGGUGGCUCUGUAUCAUAAAACACGAUGAAUCCUUCUCUCUGAUUUUUUUUUCUCCCCGAACGUGAAUAUAUGGAGUUGGAGUUGAGGUCAGUGGAGGUCCAGGGGACCCACAAGGCAGGGGGCGCGCCCUCCACCCUUGUGGAUAGUCGGUGGGUCCCCUCUGGUUGAUUCUUUCACCAAUAUUUUUAUUUAUUCCAAAAAUAUUCUUUGUGGAGUUUUAGGUCAUUCCGAGAACUUUUAUUUCUGCACAAAAAUAACACCAAGGCAAUUCUGCUGAAAAUAGCGUCAGUCCGGGUUAGUUCCAUUCAAAUCAUGCAAAUUAGAGUCCAAAACAAGGGCAAAAGAGUUUGCAAAAGUAGAUACGAUGGAGACGUAUCACAACCCUACUGCCAAAUACCUUUGCGAUAGCUGCCCAAUAGUUAUAAAUCCGUGGGGUCGGGUCGCCGGGCCCACCCACGAACCCCAACCCCCAUCUUCUCCCAUGUGUCGCGCCGCGCCGCAAGAAUAGAGAGCAACUCCUCUCUCAUCCCCUCCACUCCCCCCUCCCUCUGAUCUUCUUCGUUUCUCCAUCAUUUUUGCGGAUCGAGAUGGCUCUGAAACGAGAAAAGUAAGCUCUCUCAAUCCCUCCAAUUUGUUUUAAUUAAAAAGAUUUCGAUUCGAUGCAUUAUUUGGCACAAGAUAAACCCUAUUUCAUCUACUAGAUUUUGAUUUCUAUUGUUUUUAGGUUUGUUUUGUUAUGAGUAAUAUGAUGUUUGAUGUGGUUGAAUAUGAUAGAACCCUAUUUCAUCUAGUAGAUGGACCCUAGUUCAUGUUUCUAUAUAGUAUCAACAUGAACCCUAGUUCAUGUUCAUAAAUAUAUUUUUUGAAUUGUUCAUUGAUGUUUGAUGUGGUGGAAUAUAAUUGAAUUUGAUAGAACCAUAUUUCAUCUAGUAGAUGAAUCCUAAUUCAUGUUUCUAUAUAGUAUCAACAUGAACCCUAGUUCAUGUUCAUAUUUUUUUUGUUGUUGAAUUGUUCAUUGAUGUUUGAUGUGAUUGAAUAUGAUUGAUGUGGUUGAAUAUGAUUGGUUAAUGUGAUAUAUAUAUAUAUAUAUAUAUAUAUAUAUAUAUAUAUAUAUUGUUGAUUCAAUACGAUUUUUAGUUUGAUUAAAUAUGAUUCAUUCGCAUUGAUAUAGUAACUAGGUUUUUAGUUUGACUAACAUGAUUCAUUUGCAUAUUCCAUUGUUGAUUAUAUCUUUUAUGAUAUAUUUAUUGAUUGAUGUAAGUUGAAUAUGCUAGAAUUGACUAAUAUGAUAUGAUGCAUGUUGGUUGAAUAUGGCAUGAUUCAUUUGCAAAAAAAUCAGGAGGCCCCCCUUGCGCCCACCAUCGGCACUACGUACACCAUGCUUGACCAUGCGUUCGACAACGGUCAUCGCACCCAUUUUAUCGAGAAUGGAGUAGUAAUAACCAUGAUCAAGUUGUUGCACCAAAAAUUGGUUAUUAUGAGAAAUGAAGUCACUGUCUAUUUCCGUUUACAUUUUGGCAGAUGCUACCCCCAUUGCGGAUGAGGGGCCACACCAAGGCCAUUCUAGAUGCAGUAUGGCAAACGCUACACUCCGUACUUCAUGAGAGCACGGCUGCUAGGUUUCGGCCUUUAGUUCAAGUGAAAGUCGCCAAUGCCGUCCACUCAGCUCUCACAACAUUGGUCGACCGGUGCCGCCCCAAGAUGCAUAGUUUCCAUCUCCCAUGUGGUGAGAUGAUGGUGACACUCGAGGACUUCACCAUGAUCACGGCCCUACCGAUCCAGGGACAGGCUCUCACUGGGCGAGUGGACAAAAACAACUUGCAGCAUAGGGUCACCAGCCUCAUUGGCGACUACCCCGCCAUCCGAGAUAACCAAACAUUCGGUGUACCACUCAUGUGGAUCCAGAACAACUAGGCCAUAUGCCUGGAAGAUGCCGAUACGCGGACCGUGGAGCAAUACUCGAGGGCCUACUUGUGGUACCUUCUGACGGAGGUCGUGUUUUUAGACUGCUCGGGGGACACCGCCCUAUGGAUGUAUCUGGACUUCCUGGCCAACUGGGAUGCAGGGUACAGCUGGGGGUCCCCCGGCCUCGCGUACCUAUACCGCUCAGUAAGAGAGAUAGCUCAAUAUUAGUUUGUGGAUUUAUGUAUGUGUUUUGAAUUGUGUCAUCUAAUCUUGAAUUGGUGUUUGUAGAUUGACAACGCAAUGCAGAGGACGGAAGAGAAGUCCGGCAUGUGCGGAUUUGUCUGGACCCUCUCUAUCUGGAUGUGGGAGCGGUUGCCGGUGGGCCAUCCUGAGAAAGAUACCCGACGUCCAUGGACGGAGUAUGGCGAAGAAGGCGACAUGGCUCGAUACCCGACCGCCACGUACGCUUGGGACAAGGUGAAGGUCUACACAGGCAAGUCCAGUGUGUUGUACAAGGUCUUCACCAACGAGCUGGAUAACCUGACAUCUUACGAGGUAUACCAACUAGCUUACCAAUCAUUUUGUACCCACUUUCAUGGUUCCUACCAAUCUUUUUGUAGGUCAACUGGUGGUCGUACCACGACCGACAAUGGGGGUUCGAGCUCAACGCGAUGUGCUACGAGGACAGGCUUGCCUGGCGGUGCAUUGUGCCUAUGAUAUGUGUGUACGCCGUCGAGUGUCACUUAGCACAGCGUGUGGCCACGCAAUUUGGUAUGUUACAAAAUACCCCACCGGCAUGCCCCACCGACACCGGUGGCUUCAACCUUCACUGGUGAGGGCAUUGUUCUCUAUUGCCAUGUUUUUGUUCUGUUUGACGUUAUCAUGAUUAUUUAUGUUCUAUUGUUUCUUAUGCCUUGCCGAAAGAGUAGAAAGAAUUGUCAGUCGAUCACAGACUAGGGGGCACAAGCUCAUGGACCACGUGAAAGUGUGGGACAAGAGGAGGUAUCGCAACGACGGUGAGAGGAGAGCGAUUAACUGGGACGCGUACAAUGAACACAUGAAGUGGUAUGGCGAUGGCGUGAAGUAUCGUGUGCGCCUGAGGCCACAGUGGACGUCAGCGGAUAUCGCAUCAUUGGAGGAGGAUGACUCCGAGGAUGAAGCCUAUCGUGACAGCCUUAGAGAGCUCAAAGGUGAAUUCAGGGAGUAUGCAACCCUGAUAAACAUAGUGGUAAGUUGUGCUCUGUAUUGUUUUGAGCUCUCAACGGUUGGAUGAAAACUGCUUUAGUCAGUGUCAUUGACUUACAAAUGAUGCUUACACAAGCUUCGGAGCUUAACAGAAAAAAAAAAUUAUUGCUCGGACAUGCUGGGUUAUGACCCCGGGACCGUGGAAUCUAACAGCAAGCUAAGGGAAACGGUGAAGGUAACAUCGAACCUCCUAGCCAUAUUAUAGUUUAAUUGUAACCCUAAAGUUGAUCUAUAUUAUGUUCUUGGUUGUUUGUUAUUGCAUAAGUUCAUGACCCGCGUAAGAUAGUGGGCAUGCUUGGGUGCGCUAGUGCGGCUGAUGUCCAUGUUCCUGUUCAUGGAGGGUCGAUGCGUGCCAUCGCUUCAUCGAGUCAUGCCGGCGAAGCUUCAUCGAGCCACGCCAGUGGAGCUUCCUCUAGCCAUGCCGCCUCGUCGUCUCGCAUUGUUGAGGAGGAAGAGGGAGAAGAUGACGAGGAAGAAGAGGAUGAGAAGCAAGCCCAAGGAAGGAGGUGAUGAGGAGGAGUACGACGAUGAUGACGGAUCUCCACCGACUCAUCCAACCCAAGACAAGAGGGGGAGUCAGCCGAAGAAGGAUUGGAAGAGUCCAUCCCCGCUUUAGAAAGAGCAUCCUUAUCGCACGAAGAAGCCGGAUGAAACCCGCUCGAAGAAAAACGAGGAGUGUACCGCCGAGGGAGGGGGAGGAACAAGUGAUAUGGUCGUGUUGAACUCGCUUAGUUAAACUAGUUGUGAACUAGAACUUGUUUGCUAUAUCAAACUACUUGGUGUUGUCGAUUUGCUACCUAUUUACUAUGUUGAACCUAUUUUAUAUGUCGAUCUGCUACCUACUUAUUUGGUGUUGUCGAUUUGCUACCUAUAAUGUGUGAGAUCAUCAUAUUUUGUUUUGCAAACACUAUUUGUUGCUGUGUUGAACUAUCAUUCAUAUUUAUAAUUGAAAUGAUCAAGAUCUUCUAAAAAAUAAGUGACCGAGGAUCCUACCGCAAGGGACUGCGGCGAUAGGUUCUCACAGCCUACCGCAAAAUCUUUGUGAUUUCCCGUUAUAGGGGACCCUACCACCAGACCCCCCCUGGCGGUAAGGUCUAAAACCCUACCGUAAAAAAUCAUCAACUUUCUGUUACAAAACCCUAGCGCACACGCAAGGCUUAGCACACCUUACCGCCGCAAAGGGUGGCGGUAGCUUUAGCUACCCUACCACCGUCCACCCUGGCGGUAGUGCCGUUAAGCAACGUCAGCCCCGAUGCCCCGAUACAAUUGGUUGACAGCGGCUGCCAUUAACUUACCGCACAGGGCCUCGCGGUAGGCAAGGGUCAGAUCCGACUAAACUUCGCCAAAAGGGUCCAAACACAGAAAUUUUGCCACCUAGCCCAGCUCUGCAUGCAUGUCCCCAAAACUCCCAACACAAUCAUGAUUUUAUAGGGUCAACAAUUCAAGGAACUCUCCAAGUUUACCAAACAAAUGAAAAACUCCUGCGCAUUAAAGUCGCUUUAAAGCAUGUGAACGUAUACAAAAAAUCAUGAAUAGCGUAGAACACACAAAUGAUUUUUUUUAAUAUUUUCUCAAAUAUAAUUGAGCAGGACAAAUUACAAAAACAUGCCGAUAGACAUUGCUACAUAAAAUUCUGACCAACUCAACUUCUACUUACGCAUCAGCAGUCCGGCACAAUUAGGGAGGCAGCAAUCAACCAUCUGUCAAGGUUAUACUGGCUACAAACUAAGCAGACACGCGCAUUAACUACAACAAGCCAACCUCAAACCCCAUUCGAACUCAGAGCAAGCGCUACCGAUCUUUCACCAUAGCCCUGGCCCAUCAUGCAUCAUGAUGCAAUCACGUGAUCUUAGCGGCAGCGAGUCAUUCGCGAUAACACCCUCACAAGUUGGCGGAGGGAGAAAAAUGGAAGUUCUCAGAGCAUUGAGAGGACUCAGAAGUCCCAACGAUCAAGCUGCACCCUAGCUUCAGCCAUGUCCUUCUGUGCCUUCCUCCGCCGGUAGAAAAUAGGGCAGUCCCGACUACAAUGAUGACACCGACAGGAGUCUUAAGCUUUUGGUUCAAGUUCAAAGAUUGGAGCAUGCUGAUGAACAAAUUUUGAUGGGCAAACCUGGUGCACAGAACGUCCUGGUGUAGGGAGCCUUGGCACUCCUGGCACUGCGUCCAUAGCUUCCCAAAGAGCAUCUCCAGAUCAGAAACUGUGGGUGUUUAAGGUAAACCAGUCAGUCAUCGGACGCUUGUUGACAGUAAUACCUUUUACAAAAUUUGAGAAACAUUUCAGAGGAUUGAGAUCCUACCAUUUGCUACUGUUUUGUAGUAUAACUCUGCUUCCCUUCCCUUGCAAUGUGAGCAAAGUGUUUGGUUGGGACCACUGCAGGGUGACAAUGGGUCGAUUAGAAGACUGGGUCAUUCAUUACAGCAAAGGGAGUAAAAUUAUGGUUUUACUGCUGGAAUAGGAAUAUUAUAAUGCAAGGUCAUUUUAAAGUACGGCAUCUGCACUGCAGAAUUAAAUACUGGGAAGCAAAUGCUCACAGUUCCAACAGAAGGAAAAUAGAGUGCAUAUUUUUUUGCAACAUUGUAGGAGAAUUACCUUAUAACUGCUUUGCAUCCGAGGCAAGUCAGUUGUUUCUUUGCAAAUUUCAUUAUCCCGCUAUUUGAAGGAGUUGAGAUUGAAACAGCUCUGGUAUGACUUCCAUGAAGCAGUUCUCUGCUCGCGUUCUUCAGAAUUGGUUCGAAUAUUCUCAACAGUGGCUGACAAUAAAAAAUUCAUACUUCAUGAGAAGUGGGAAAAAAAAUAGGUUUUGAAUGUAAAGAAGGGUGUUCUGGACAAACUUUGCUAAUUUGGUUCUCAAGGUAGUACUGAGGAUCUAUUGGAAUGUUAUUAUCCAGAACGUAAAUUGGAUCUUCUGACUUCUCAUAUGCCUGUAUGUAGAAAGACAAAUGUAUCAACACAGCUACGUAUAACAGAAGAAAUAUACGACUCUACAACAGCAAAUACAUAUGAGUUACCUUUGCCCCUUUUGCUGCUUUUAUUAUAACAUAAGGAACCCGGUCGCCAACAGUUGGUGCAGUAGCAGCAUCCCUCUGCUCAAAAGAAUCAGAGUUAUGCCAGUCACAUGCCUCCAAUCUCCACAAGGAAUGAACAAAGAUAAGCACCAUUUAGGAAAAAUAUCAAGUGUCAGUACCUUCCGCAUCCUCUCAGCAAGCUCCACAUGGGCGGCUUUUACAGCAUAGUCUUCUCCUGUUUUUGUCAAACCCUGCAGAUCAGAGCCAUUGUGAGUAACCAGAGGAUUUCAAGCUUUAGUGAUCUUUAUGGAUGAAUUGCAUACUAAUUCACCUUUGUUAUAACCAGAAGUGACAAGUCCACACGGUUCAUUAAUAGAUCAGAUAUGGUAUUCUUGACAUAUUGGACUGCACCAGGAACAUCUCGGUCCACUAGUAUUUUAUGAAGGCACUCAGUCACCAGGUUCUUUACCAAUAAACAGUUGUCCCUUCGAACUGUUUCAAUACCUGUAUGCAAAGGUAGAAGAAUACAUGUUAAAGCAGGAAAGUAGGAUGACAACAACUAUAAUGCAAUAAAUACCUUUUGUGUCCAUUUUGUCAAAUUUCUCAGGAUUUGUCCAGUACAAACCAGCAUAUCUCUUCUUGCUGAUCAGUAGGUAUGGAAAGUAAACUUUCUCAAACUCUAGCUUGAUGGGCUGCACAACAGAUGUAAAAAUCAACAAAUAAUAAAAUUGAAAGUUAUUAGUUUAACAAAAUUGGUGAAGUCCUCCCCACUUGUGCCAAGAGGUCCUGGGUUCGAACCAGCCUCUCUGCAUUGCACUUUGCAGGGGUAAGACUAGGUUCCUAUAAUCCCUCCCCAGACCCCACCUUGUGUGGGAGCUUCUAUGCACUGGGUCUGUCCUUUUUUUUUAUUAGUUUAACAAAAUUGGAUAGUUGGCAAGGACUUAAAUUCAGCUAGGAUUUAUUACAGGAACAAACAUGUUAUAUUAUGACACUGAUCUAAUGUGAAGCAGUUAACAGGAUCUGAUCUGAUAUUUUGAGAUAUCGAACAAGCAUGCAGCUACCAAGAACAAAGUAGAUGAGCCUCGUAGAGAGAACCAAAUUAAUGGUGAUGAAACAAUAACAAGAGAUGAGAGUGAGGCUAGCCACAAAUUCCUUAGCACAACAUAGAUUAUGGCUCUCUCACAACCCCGCUUGAACCCUCUUACAAACCUCGGAUCUGGCCCUAAAAAUGAAUAUCAUGCUAAAGAAAAUGUAGCCCCUGAUCCUUUCAAUGCCCCAGUUCCUUCUACUUUUUUACUUUGCUUCUGAUGAGAUCGCCAACUGCUUGAUUAAUUGGUUGGAUUUAUCUUUUCCGACAGACCUUCAAUACAAGUAGAAUUAGUACAGAAAUGCUCCUUACACACAUCUCCAAGUCCUGAUCGGAUUGAAAGAUACAAGUCACCUUAGAGGGUGAACAGGCUUGUGGCUAUGAGGGAAGGACACUAGAGACUAGGAUGAACGUCACAGGGUACAUACUAUCCAUGUUAUAGAGAUACUUAUAUCUCCUAUCAACAAAGAACUUAACGCUCCGUCGUACAUCUUCUUUUCGUCAGCCUCUCCCCAUGUCACCCGUUCCGUCCGUCCAUCCUCUACACUUCCCACCGAUUUUGUUGUGUCCAGUUUUCCAGGGUUUUUGGCAGUGCGUGCCCGCUCGUCUGUGAGCACAUAGGCCCAUCUAUAUACAUGCAGUAAAGAAACUGAACAAGCCAGAAGGCCCAACCUAUUAACAUGAUAUGGCUCUCUCCUGUCCUUAUCUUUAUACCCUCAAAAGAAUUCUUUAAUUUCCUUUUUCUUCUCUCAACUUUUUCCUUUUUCCUUGCAGUCAAAAAAGAAAAUACUGCUGCUACCUUUCUUUACUUCUGUUACAUUUCUUCAAGCACCUCUUUUAGAGCAAUCCUGUUCCUCAAGCAAAGGGCUAAUCAAUAGAUAUAGCCUUUGCAAUGGUUCCUUUGACUCAACAUUUAAUUUAUUUAUUUCAUAGUGGAUUUUCUUCAUCUAUUACUUCUUAUUGAUAUUUUUCUUGUGCGAGCCAUCCGAACUGAUGUCAGGUGCACACAAUCUGUGGAGUUCAUGGCAAGCCAUCAAUUCUGGCAUUAUUUUCCCACACUUCUUAAUUCUUAUACCGUGUUUUCUCUUCUUUGAUUUAUGAUGCACGUACGAUGGAUCUAUAUUCGGUGAUUUAUUUUCCAUGUGUGACCAUGUCAGGCAUGCAUUUUUCUUCGAGAUUUAAAGAUUAGCCAACAUUUUAAUUUCUUCUUUCAUCUCUUAUUUCAGAAAUUUUAUUUGGUUUAGAAUUAAAAAUGUUCUCCUGAAAUUGUUGAAUCUAUUGAAAGUUAUUAUGUGGCAAUGUAUAGAACUUAUCAUAAACAUUUUUGUGGCAUAGAUACAAAAGACGGAAUAAUUUUGUUUUACUAUAAGAGGUAUGCGUAUUGUUCAAAAUUCGCCCUGGGGCCUCCUGAAUGUCAGGAUCGGUGUUGCCAAGGUAUAUCCUCAUCAGGGACACGCUGGUCCGAGCAGAUGAGGCACGCCUAGCUGAUGCUGGUGGCGCCGGGAAAAGGGGAUCACUCCUGCUUGCCACCGCUCUCCUCCACGCAACCACAUUGUGGCUCGAGCUGUCCACGGCCCAGGCCCCCGUGGCUUCCUUCUUCUCCUCGCAAUCCUCGCAAUCACGCUACGUCGGCAUUUGUUAAUUAUAACAAAAAUAUGAUAUUGGGCGACAAUACUGUAUGAUGUGCAUGAGGAGACAUGAUUGUGUAUUUGUGUUAAACCACUAAAAUAUGUAUGCUCCCAUUGCAAAGCACAGGCAACACAAGGACCGGGUCCAGAAUGAUGACAUACGUGAUAGAGUUGGGGUUGCACCAAUUGAAGAGAAGCUUGUCCAACAUCGUCUGAGAUGGAUUGGGCAUAUACAACACAGGCCUCCAGAAGCGCAGGUGCAUAGCAGAAAAUUAAAGUGUGCUGAUAUUGUCUAGAGAGGUAAGGGUAGACCAAACUUGGCAUGGAGGAGUCCGUAAGAGAGACCUGAAGGACUGGAAUAUCACCAAAGAACUAGCCAUGGAUAGGUGAGUGGAAGUUAGCUAUCCACGUGCCAGAACCAUGACUAGGUUUCAAGAUCUUAUGGGUUUCAACUCUAGCCUACCCCAACUUGACAGGGCUUUGUUGUUGUUAUUGUUGCUUUACUUAUGUAUCUCCAAACUCCGGUUCUUAUUGAUAUAAAGUUAUAGAGUGUGAUAUUUCCCACUGUUUUCCCUCAAAACAAUGUUACAAUACCAAGUAAUGACAAGAGUAUCUGUAGUCACCUUAAUAAAUGUUCCACUAAUAUACUCUGCAGCUUCUCUUCCCAAUUUCAUUGCGUCCUCGACUGUAGAAACGCCAAACUGUACCAUCACAGAAUCAGUAUCUCCAUAAAUCACCUGGAAUGUCCAAAAGAAUUUGCGUCAACCAUCAGAACAUGAUUGAAAAGUGUGAAAAUCCCAACAAAUAGACUAACCAAGUGCAUAUAGACUAAAGCAGGAAAAAGAAGCUUGCAUACAGAUCGAAAGUGAUUAUUAUGCUGAUAUCUAGCCUGCAAACUAAUUGAAUGCAUGGAAGCAAGAUGUCACAUGAACAAGGUCCUGCGGUUGCUACUUGCAUAUAAGAUUUGGGGGAAAUCACAAACAUGACACUGGAAAGUUGCAUUUUGGAAAAAUGGUACCAGCUGUGAGAAUACCAUGUGGGUCCAGGUCCCACAUGUCAUUGAAACUCUAGUGAAGCUUCACAAAACUGCUAGCUUUGCAGGGACAUUACAAAUAGUUCUGAGCCAACAUUGUGCUGAUAUCUAUUGAAGUGUGUAUGUGGAUUGCUCCUUUCCAUGAGUUCAGACUUUUGGUUGUGUUGGCUAGUGGAUGAAGCUUAACAUGGUAUCAGAGCCUAAGGCCUUGAGUUCAAGUCCUGGCUGUCGCAAUUUAUUGAAAGAUUGUUCUUGACCCCUGUGCCCACGUAGGCCUCUUGAGCCAUACCUCUGAGUCUAUUCACAUGUUGACUUCCCGCGUCACACAUGAGAGGGGAUGCUGAAGUGUAUAUGUGGAUUGCCUAGCCCUUUCCAUGAGUUCGGACUUUUAAUUGUGUCUGCUAGUGCAUGAAGCUUAACAAAGAUAAAACUAACAUUGUGUAGUUUUGACACUCCUUUGUAGGAAGGAUUUGCCACCAUGUCCCGUUGAGAUGGACAGAUUCACAGGUUAGUAAAUGCUAAGUAACUGAGUAUGCUGAUAGAAGUUGUCGGUACGAAUCUGAUAUAGAAUGCCUCAUGGAUUCAUAUCUGCCAUAUCAGAUGGAAAUGGGUAACUGAAGGCUUGACAACUUGCUAAUGUAGAGCAGACAAGUUAACAUGAAAUAUUGCAAGCUUAUACAAACACAGGAUAUGGUAACUGAUAGUACACCUCUGCAUUAUGCUCAUAGCCUCCAAGUGUUGUGAAUUUAUCUUCAACAAGCUUCUUUGUGUGCUCAAUCAUCUGUCUACCUGUAGAAUAAAAAUCCUUCAGUACCACACAAUUCAACAUGUUCUUGAAUGUUUCAGGGUACUAUGAAAUGUACACGUGCACUAUAUUAAGCGAAGAAUUCAUGCUCACCGUAGCUCGUAACACUUGAAGAAAUCUCUAAACAGGGCAAUUGACCAACAGUAGCACCAGUAAAACCAUAAACUGAAUUUGCACUUAUCUGAAAUAGACCCAUUAAACAAUGUCAAGAUUCAAGGAGUCGCGUUUUAUGUACCACUGUUUGAGGGGGGCGAGAGUGUUAGGAAAUAGAUAUUUAAGUACUUUUAGGGCAAGCUGACGACCAUCAAGAACCGCUCUUUCGAAUGGGUCCUUUGCUUCCUGAAAAGGUUACUGGUGAUUAUAAUAUAGGAUUGAAGACAUGUAAUGCACAAUGUUUAGCAUUUAUAAAUCUAAAGAGUCUUGACUAUAAUUUUCUCACUGUAAUAACAUGGGAGAAAUAUACCUUCAAAUCUGCUUUUGCUCUUUUCCGAGCAGCCAACAGUUCUUCAAGGAUUUCAGGAAGUAUACCCUGAUAUUGGAGAUAUAAUAUUGGUUAGGAAACACUGUUUCUGUCACGAAGAUCAUUUACCAUGCCAGGAAGCAAAAGGUAUAUAAAAAAAUAGAACAGAGAAAUGGUACCCCCAGCCUCGGUCAAUGCACAUAAUCAUCACUUUUUCCACGGAAUUGCUAGAAGAGUUAAGUGCCGGGAAAGAAUUACCUUUUGCAACUUUGGUUUCACAAAUAUUUCACCAGAUGGGGUUUUGUAGAGGCUUUCUGGAGGCAAGUUGAGUUUACGGACAUCCUCAGGGGGAACCUUAAAACCCAUUUGAAUACACAUUAACCCAAUUUUCAGACAGCAUUGUUUUUUUUUCAGAUAUUGGCAUAGCAAUUAAAAGAAUUAUGUUUACCAAAGUGCAGUAGCAUAGGUUAUGGGCCAUCAUGAUGGAUGGAUACAGAGAAGCAAAGUCCAAAGUUGCAAUGGGCUUCUCAUAAAAUCCAGCCCUUGCCUCCAAAACCUAAAUUGAAGGGUGAGACAGAUUACAGAAAACAAGAAUCAUUGGACAAUAAAACGGAAAAAAGAACAAAAAGAACGAUGUUUUUCAUUGCAUGAUCAGUUUAGAAAAUGGAGAAGUAAAAAUUAUUGCUGAAUGCUUCCUUACUUCCCAGGUGGAAAGAGAGUUGGUAUACACAAAUAUGUGUUCAUGGUAAGCAAUCAAGAUGCAUUAUGCAUGAUCCACAGUAGUUUUUUGCAUUGGUGGUGAUAACCUAGUUGUCAGUAUGGGAAAUAUCCUUAUCUCACAUAACAAUAUCUAUACGGUCAAGGCAAGAAAUUCAAAGGGUCAUAAUGUGCAGUAUGAUGUUUUUAUGGCGUGAUAAAUAGAUAUGUAGUAAGUGUAAUAGCUGCUACUGCAUCAUGACAAAAAAAACAAUGAGGUUGGAAAAUGCAGAUCAUGCCAAUCGACUUACAGUUGCACCCUCAAAGGUAUCUUGCCCAGAACUUUGGCCCUUUAUGUUUGGUAUAACAAGGUUUCUCUGUUUUGCUUUCCUCAGUAACUGUGAGAGGACCUGAAGACCAUAUUGAAAUUCCUGUUAGAAUGCUAGAGUGGAAUAUAUCUAUUGGCAGAAUUUGAUGUUGUUGUCACCUUAAUGCUCUGUCCCCUCGAGAGCAGAAAAGAAAUGGGAACUCCUGUGACCCUCGCCAUCUCUACGUAGUUGUAGAUGUACAUCAAUUUAUCUAACAGUCUUUGUGGAAGAUAAGCAUCCUGUGUGUACAGAAAUGGAAAAGAGCAUGUUGGGAACACACUUCGAGGAAAGGCUAGUGAUCAACUCAAAGGUACAAAUUUUAUAGGUCAGUUUGCACAAGUAUCAUCCUAGCUUACAACUAAGAUACCGGCAGACCUACUGGCCAGAGAUAAGGAGCAAAUGUUUCCAUGUAUUGCAAUUGUUUUUCAAACAUUGAAUUGUUCAUUCAUCAGACAGUAACAUAAUUUGGGGAAAUUUCUUAAGUAUACAUAAUGCAAGCUGCAACAUAAGUCUUCAAGUGAAAGAGAUUAUUAGACAAACAGAAUAUAUUAAUAUGUAUGUUGUCCCGAUUCAAAUUUAUCUUGUUUCAUUCUUGACAUCUAUGUCAAGGGUAAUAAAUAAUAUUGCCUCCCAAACAACUAAUGUGUUUAGAAAAUGACAUCGGUGAAUCAUAAAAUUGCAAUCUCAGACUAAUGAUGAUGUUGAAAGCAUGCACUACAGACCACUAGGUACAUAUCUUAUGAUGAGAAGUGUAAGAGCAAUAUAUAACUAUUAAGUUGGACCAAAUUAGUCCAAAUCCUUCUGAGAACCUACAAGGACAUUAUUUGAGAAGAAAAAAAGGAAAAUCUCAAAGCCCAAUCAGAAAUGUAGAACAAAAUGCCCAUAACUAAACCAGCUACUUCAUAAGCACAUUUCAGCAGUUUAUUAGCAGAUGACUCAAAGAACAAUUAGGCUGACCUUCAAGCAAUAAACUGCAAGACGCCUUCGUGUCUCUGAGUUUCCAUUUUGAAGAUCAGAUAUGAUUGAAUGAUGAACGUCCUCUUUCUGCGCAUGAAAAUCUAAUAUCAGAACAAUAAGAAGAAAAGAGUAUUAAAUCGAUACUACAUAGCCAUUUGCAUCAAAUUAGGCAAUUAGCACACUUUGGAAUUAUUUUAGUGAAGUCAAACUGAGUUCCAGUCCGAAGUGUUCUGGACCUUGGUUCACGACGGAAUAAUUUGGUAGGUUAAGAGUCAAAGGUCCUCGACAACUUGUAGGCCUCGUCCCUGAUGUGUUAGAAAGGCUCUGAGACUUAGAGAACUUCUAAUUAUUUCAUUGUGUAAUGCAAAUAAUUACAUAGUAGACCUUUAUAUAAGUGACUUAGCUUGUCCCACAGGAAUAGGAUCUUCGCUUCUUAAUAAACUUUUAUCUUGAUUCCCCUGACUAAACCAACCUCCUUUUCUAAGAGCAUAACUCUUCCCCAAAUUCUAAUCUGUUUGAUUCCGUCAGUACUAAUGAACAGAUGGGACUUGCGUCAUGCACCCUUGUAUGGGCAUGGAUACCAUUUUAGCCCAUAACACAACGAGAGUUUAAAUAAUAACGGCAUGAAUAUGAGUGAAUACAAUACUUAGGGGUGCGCUGACAGCAACCAAGGCCACUUAAAAUGGUUGGACUUACUUGCUCCCCUAGAAAAUGUGCAGAUACAGAGUUCAAUGAAUAAGAACUCAGCUUGUAAUCCCUUUGCAUAGCCUGCCCACAUGCAGAAAGGAAGGAUAAAGAGAAGAUGAGAUACUGUCAUGUAACUAAAAGUAAUGAAAACUACUGGUCUAGUUGUGUAAAACAGUAGAUCACAACCUGCAGAAGAUCAAAUUGUACCCUUCCCUCAACAGUUACAUCUUUACUUUCACGCAUACCAUAUUGCCUGGAUAAGAGUAACGAACACGCCAUCAAUAAUUUUUUCAUGUGAAUACUACUAGCAAGUUCUUGAGUUUUACACCCUCUGUUCCUAAAUAUAAGACAUUUUGGCAGUUCAAUUUAAACUUCCAAAACGUCUUAGUAAAAUAUAUGCUAUUGCACCUUGCAGGGUCAUAAAAUCUUAUAGCAUUAGCACGCAACAAUUAAGGCAGGGUACAAAAUUACAAAGCAUAGUGAAGUCCAUGAUAUCAUGGUAUUUCCCUAACUAUCCUUCAUUGCAAAGAAUAGCAUAUAAACAGCAAACCGAAUGUUUACUCCUCAAAGACUGCAUUGUAGAAAGCCCAUUAUAGAGAGAAAAUUUCUUAUUUGGCACUAUCUUAAAAUCUGCUUCCUUAUUUGACACUGGAAAGUUUUCUUCCCUAUUUGACACAAGUUCUAAAUUUUAUUCCCUAUAUGACAUUUCCGUCCAUUUUGAGCCUAAAUGGCAUCUGAAAAGANNNNNNNNNNNNNNNNNNNNNNNNNNNNNNNNNNNNNNNNNNNNNNNNNNNNNNNNNNNNNNNNNNNNNNNNNNNNNNNNNNNNNNNNNNNNNNNNNNNNNNNNNNNNNNNNNNNNNNNNNNNNNNNNNNNNNNNNNNNNNNNNNNNNNNNNNNNNNNNNNNNNNNNNNNNNNNNNNNNNNNNNNNNNNNNNNNNNNNNNNNNNNNNNNNNNNNNNNNNNNNNNNNNNNNNNNNNNNNNNNNNNNNNNNNNNNNNNNNNNNNNNNNNNNNNNNNNNNNNNNNNNNNNNNNNNNNNNNNNNNNNNNNNNNNNNNNNNNNNNNNNNNNNNNNNNNNNNNNNNNNNNNNNNNNNNNNNNNNNNNNNNNNNNNNNNNNNNNNNNNNNNNNNNNNNNNACACGCACACACACGCAUCAACACACACGCACGCAGCACACACACACAUACACACACACGCAGUAGCAGCAGCACACACGCAGGCAGCACAUAGGCACGCAACAACACACACACGCGCGCGCACACACGUACACACGCAGUAGCAAACACACGUGCAGCAGUACACCUGUGCGCGUGCACCCACACACGCAACAGCACACACGCGCGCACACACAUACCGCAUGAGGGGCAAAAUCGUCUUUUCAGGUGUCGUUUAGGCUCAAAAUGAACGGAAGUGUCGUAUAGGGAAUAAAAUUUAGGACUAGUGUCAAAUAGGGAAGAAAAACUUUUCCAGUGUUAAAUAAGGAACCAGAUUUUAAGAGUGUCAAAUAAGGAAUUUUCUCCAUUAUAGACCCCAGAAAAAAUACAGAGGAUAUCUAUGGAUGACCCCGUAAAUAUGAACGCAGAAAAACUGUGGAUAAAAUAUCUGAGAAUGGCAAUGCUAAAACUUAUUAGAUGGCACUGAAACAAGGAUUAAUCAGACAUCAUUUGCAUUAAAUUAGCAUGAUCAGCAUAAUUUCAGCUAAAUCUGAAAUCAGAAAUUAUGCAUCACUGGAAUCAAUCAAACAUGGACUGCAUAUGUAGGCACACAAGUUAAAAAUAAAGGAAACAGCAACAUAGUGGCUCGCUGGAAAUAACCAAACAGAACUUGGAGAAUUUGGAGAAUUGCACAGCUAUUUGACCAUAAUGGGCAAACACAAAUGAUAAUGAAUACUACUUAGUGGUCUACAGUGCACUAUGGGCAAACUAACAUGGACUACAGCGAACAAAUAUAAAAUGCACAAAGACUAGCACUCAAAAAAAUAACCUUGAGUUGAAGGUGGUAUCACGGACACGGACACGGCUAUUUCUGAUUCGACCAAGUAGUGGAAACUCCACUAUCUUGAGAACUUCAGCUCUCUGCAAAUAUGUGAAACCAUAUACUAAGAGAUAGAAAAUUGCCAGGUUGGGCAAUGAGUAAGAGCAUUCAAACUUUACAAAAGUUUAUGUACGUCAAUAAGAUAUGGCAGAUCAAAUUUGCAGAUAUUGUAUCCAAUUAUAAUAUCAGGAUCUGCCUCGCGUAUUAAAUCCUGCAAAAUACCAAAGCAGAACAGGGCUGAUAUCAAUAAAGUUACUUGUCUGCCAUCAGAUGAUGUAUUUGACUUUGGAAGAGUGUAAUAUGAAGAAAAAAAAGCAAACUGUAUAUAUAAAGAAACCAACAAAAAAACAUGUUUUUUCACCAUGGAUACAGGUUAUAUCUGUAUACAAUCAUAGAUCGCAAAAAAAACUGACACUGUUAACUCAGAAUGAGGCAACACUCACCCUCCAAGCAAGUAGAAUAUCUCGCUCUGUGUCAAAUGACAUUACAUCCACUCCGACAAUGGGAGAACAUGAUUUAAGAGUCAUGACAUUCCGUACAAAAGGCUGGGCUUCGCCUUGAAGCGUGAGCAAAUUAGCAAUCUAUUUCAAUCCAAGGAAGCAUGUCAAGAUAAUAUGCACAUAAAGGCAUUCACAUCGGAAAUUAAAUGUAGUGGCUUAUCAAAAUACGACAAUAAUGAAACAAACCUGAAUAACCGGAUCAUGAGUUGGUUCUGGGAAGUGUCCUUUGCGACCAGCACAUUCGAUGUCAAAACUUAAUAUGCGAAAGGGGGCCAUCUUAGAGUAUUCCCCUUCAGGAGCAUGGCUUACCAAAUCUGAAUAUCUGUUGGUUGACUUAAGGAAUGACCGAAUGAACAAUAUCAUGAUUUAGAAAUAAGGAUGGAGGCAUUAAAUUCACUAUGGAGGAUACAGGCAAUCCAACUCUAGCUGGCAAUAGGACAUGACGCGAGUUGCUUUUCUAUACUUCCCAGCAGGAAGUUCAAUCCAAUUGCCACCAACAAUGUUGCAGUCAAUCAUAAAGCGAAGGGCAAAGAGAAUGUUGCUUUCAUAUGUCACGAAACUCUUUGAACCAAGACUGCCAAUCGUUAUGCCCCUUUCAAGGAUGCCUAUAAUGCACACACAAAAUAUGUCAAUUUUGGUAAGCCAUAAAAUGCGAUGAUGAUGCUAGCCACAGAUGCAGAAAAGUCAAAGAAGGUGGGUACAAAGUAAAGAUAAAAGAUUCACACAAUAAUUAGCAGGCAAGCAAAUGAAAGUCUUCUUUAGACUUAAAGGUUAUUCAUUGAAAAUAGAGGUAACGAGGCCAAUUGACAACAAAGGAAAAUAAGUGUACUUUUCUUAAACUACCACUGACCACGACAGCUAGCAACCAUUGUAGGUAGGGCAACUACUAUCUUGAGGAAGGACUGAGAUUUAUUUGGCUGGUAAUGCAUAAUUGUCUGCUUCUGCAGAAGCUCAACACUCUUCACAAAUCUUUGCACACUGCUAUUCCUAUUUGAUUCCUUCAUCCUCGCCUGUAAGCCAUUGUGAAGAGUGGUAUAAGGAAAGAAUGUACUUCCGAAGUUCCUUCAUUGAGCAGAAGGGCCAACUUAAAAUAGGAUAGAAGUAGAAACCUCUAGUGUUUGUUUGAAGCCUGAAAUAUCAUCAGGGCUCAUUCCAGGCGGGCAGCUGAUGUAGAAAUAUGGUUCAAACCCAUGCACCUGACAGCACACACUGUGACCUGAGAACAUAAUAAGAUAGUAUCACACGUCAGCACAAGCCGCAUGAUGAAGAAUAAUCAUAUGAACACAGAAACAUAUAACCUUCUCUGGUGACACCAAAAAUCCUGAUUAUAGCCGCAGGACCAGAAGAGUUGGGCAGAAACUCUUUGUGGCUCUCACCAAUAACAUAAUCUAUAUCCAGCUGCUGAAAAGCUGGAAAAUCAAACAGAAGGGAACAACAUCAAUAAUAAGAUGAAGCUGUAUAUCUAGCAUAAAGCUUUAUCCAAUUUAGAUUAACAAAACGGCUAGCAACUAUUAGUGCUAUAACAAACAAUCCUUCCAGAGCACAGCCUAAAACUUUUAUUUUAUUUUGCAAUCGGUGGAUGCGGCAUUUCCUCUUUGUGUCCCCCAUGUAAUUAACAUGUUAUAAAAUCAUACAGUGUGCAGACUGUAUGGAGGUUCAUGGACCUUCAUAAGAGAGAGGGACACUUCAGAACCCAAUUCAUGAGCUUUAAAUUUUAUAUUGUCUGUACGAACUAGAAAACAAAUCAACAAUUAUGCAAACGUGCAGUUACGUGUAUCUAUCCAAAAUAAUAGUGAUUCUGAGACCCAACGACACCACCCAGACUGCGAGCAGAAAUGUGAGAAGUACAGCCAAGACAGGGAAGGAUUUGAUGCCUCUUUGAAUACAAAAGCUUUGCUAAUUCCAGACCAGAAAUAACUCCAUUUGACUUUUGCAUAUAAUCUCACAAUCUGCAAUGCACCGGUUACAGGCUUACAUUCAAUCGCCUCCCACGCAUCCAGUGCAAAGCAUUUAUUUUUCAAAGCACAUCUUCACAGUUCACCUGGCACACUCAAAAGGUCCAUUUCCCACGACAACAACAAAAAAGUUAUUAGUGUUCACUAAUCCAAUCGACACAUCAACCAAAAUGUGGAAGUUGAUUAAGCCUAAACUGCACUGAAUCGACAAGCUGUAUGCGCAAAAUCCCAGAGGUCCCCGAGUCCAGGCAUCAACAAGAUGAAUUCGGUUAAAGCGGCAUUGUGGACCAAAGAACACCAAACCCCUAGCCAAUUGGCAGUUGCUUAAGAGCAAAAUACUCGAUCUGCCCCGAGUUACACCUUCCACGCAGGCUGAACUAACCAGGCUCGGGAUGGAAGACGGGCGGGCAUGGGAAUGGGGCCGUACCGACGGAGCGGGAGCAACCGGAGACGAGGUCGGCGGGGAGGGCGGGGCGCUUCCACCUGGAAAGACGGGAGGCGAGGGCCUCGUCGCGGUCGAGCAGCAGCAGCGCCGCCUCGUCCUCCGCGAGGAUAGUCUCGUCCAGGAAAACGUCCUCGUCCAUCAUAUCCUCCUCCGCCGCCGCCGCGGCAGCCGGUGGAGGCGGCUGUGGGGCGCCAGGCGGCAUGGGCUGGGCCCGCUUCGCCGCCAGCGGGGAUGGGGCUGCGGGAGGCCCCGCCCGUCGCUUGCCGCCGCGCCCGACCGAGCUCAUCGCCGGAGAGGAUGGGAGAGAGAGGGGAUGGGGACUGGAGAGGCGGAAAGGCGGGGAACGGGGGAUGUGGAAUUGGGGUUCCCGCCAUUGCUGGAGAUGUAGGGUUUAUACGGGAGGCGACAGCAGAAUACGCCAACCCUAUAGCCUUUACGUAAACCGGGCUGGCGUCAACGUUUGGGCGCGGUGGAUGCGCUACAUUCAACAGAAAUUGCAUCUGGGAUCAUCCAAUGUUGUUCCCGUGCUUCGAACUCAUAUCAUGGUACAAUAGAUCUUGGAUUACCAAUUGUGUUGCAAUGAUUUUUCUUUUGCGGAAAUAAUUCUUGCAUUACUCAAUCAAAGUACAAUCACGCAUCUAAAACGACCUCUGGUCCCGACCCAAGUCAUACAACAGUUCGGCCUUGGGUCUGAUACGUCUUCGUCGUAUCUACUUUUUCAAACACGUUUGCUUUUAUUUUUGACUCUAACUUGCAUGAUGUGAAUGGAACUAACCCGGACUGACGCUGUUUUCAUCAGAAUUGUCAUUGUGUUAUUUAUGUGUAGAAACAAAAGUUUUCGGAAUGACCUGAAACUUCAUGGAGCGUCUUUUUGAAAAUAAUAAAAAAUACUGACAAAAUAUCAAGACCAGGGGGCCCACACCCUAGCCAUGAGGAUGGGGGCGGGCCUGCCCCCCUGGGCGCGCCCCCCUACCUCGUGGGCCCCUGGAACUUCUCCGACCUCAACCCUAAUUCUAUAUAUUUACUUUCGGGGAGAAAAAAAUAAAGGAAGAAAGAUUCAUCAUGUUUUACGAUACGGAGCCGCCGUCAGGCCCUGAACUCUCUUGGUAGGGCUGAUCUGGAGUCCGCUCGGGGCUCCGGAGAGGGAAAUCCGUCGCCGUCGUCAUCAUCAACCAUCCUCCAUCACCAAUUUCAUAAUGCUCACCGCCGUGCGUGAGUAAUUCCAUCAUAGGUUUGUUGGACGGUGAUGGCUUGGAUGAGACUUAUCAUGUAAUCGAGUUAGUUUUGUUAGGGUUUGAUCCCUAGUAUCCACUAUGUUCUGAGAUUAAUAUUGCUAUGACUUUGCUAUGCUUAAUGCUUGUCACUAGGGCCCGAGUGCUAUGAUUUCAGAUCUGAACCUAUUAUGUUUUCAUCAAUAUAUGAGAGUUCUUGAUCCUAUCUUGUAAGUCUAUAGUCACCUACUAUGUGUUAUGAUCCGUCAACCCCGAAGUGACAAUAAUCGAGACCACUCCCGGUGAUGACCGUAGUUUGAGGAGUUCAUGUAUUCACUAUGUGUUAAUGCUUUGGUCUGGUACUCUAUUAAAAGGAGGCCUUAAUAUCCUUUAGUUUCCGCUAGGACCCCGCUGCCACGGGAGGGUAGGACAAAAGAUGUCAUGCAAGUUCUUUUCCAUAAGCACGUAUGACUAUAUUCGAAAUACAUGCCUACAUUACAUUAAUGAAUUGGAGCUAGUUUUGUGUCACCCUAGGUUAUGACUGUUACAUGAUGAACCGCAUCCGGCAUAAUUCUCUAUCACCGAUUCAUUGCCUACGAGCUUGCCAUAUAUUAUUUUUCGCUUAUUUACUUUUCCGUUGCUAUUGCUAUAAUCACUACAAAACACCAAAAACAUUGCUUUUGUUAUCAUUACCUUUUGCUAUCGUUACCACUACUAUCAUAUUACUUUGCUACUAAAUACAUUGCUGCAGAUAUUAAGUUUUCAGGUGUGGUUGAAUUGACUACUCAGCUGCUAAUACUUGAGAAUAUUCUUUGGCUCCCCUUAUGUCGAAUCAAUAAAUUUGGGUUGAAUACUUUACCCUCGAAAACUGUUGCGAUCCCCUAUACUUGUGGGUUAUCAAGACUAUUUUCUGGCGCCAUUGCCGCGGAGCAUAGCUCUAAUCUUUGAGUCACUUGGGAUUUAUAUCUGCUUAUUAUUAUGAAGAACUUGAGAGAUCCAAAAACCAAUAUUUAUUCCUCAACUACGAGGGGAAGUAAGGAACUGUCAUCUAGCUCUGCACUUGAUUCACCUUCUGUUUUGAGUAAGCUUGCGACACCUAAACCUGCUUAUGCUAUUCAUUCUGAUAUGUCGCAUGUUAUUGAUGAUGUCACUUCUGCUAUGCAUGAUACUUAUGAUGAAACUACUUCUAUGCUUGAUACUACAGUGCCACUUGGUGAAUUUCUUGAUGAACAACUUGCUAGGGUUAGAGAGAAUAAAAUUAUUGAAACUGAUAAUACUGAUGAAAGUGAUGAUGAAGACUCUCCCCCUAAUAAAUAUGAAUUGCCUGUUGUUCCUGAGGGUUAUGUUCUGGAUGAAGAAUCAGCUAGAGCUAUUCUUGCUUGCAAUGGUAGAUAUGAUCUAAAGAGGUUGUUAGCUAAAUGGAAGCAGCAGUCACUUAAUGCUAGAAUGAAACCUGACCCUGCUUUUGCUACUUCACCUAUCUAUGUUACUGAUAAGGAUUAUGAAUUCUUUGUUGAUCCUGAUAUAAUUACUUUAGUUGAAUCUGAUCCUUUUUAUAGCUGUGAAUCUGAAACUGUUGUGGCAUAUCUUACUAAAUUAAAUGAUAUAGCCACUCUGUUAACUAAUGAUGAGGGAACUCGCUACUUUUAUAUUCUUAAAAUAUUUCCAUUCUCAUUAAAGGGUGAUACUAAGAUAUGGUUUAAUUCUCUUGAUCCUGGUUGUGUGCAUAGUCCCCAGGAUAUGAUUUAUUACUUCUCUGCUAAAUAUUUCCCUGCUCAUAAGAAACAAGCUGCUUUAAGGGGUAUAUAUAAUUUUGUGCAAAUUGAAGAAGCGAGUCUCCCACAAGCUUGGGGGAGGCUUCUCCAAUUACUUAAUGUUUUGUCUGAUCAUCCUCUUAAGAAAAAUGAAAUACUUGAUAUCUUUUAUAAUGGACUAACCGAUGUUUUCAGAGAUUACUUGGAUAGUUGUGCUGGUUCUGUUUUCAGGGAAAGAAGACCAGAUGAAGCUGAAUUCUAUUAAACAAUAUGUUGACUAAUGAAAAUAAUUGGACACUUCCUGAGCCUAUUCCUAAACCAACUCCGAAGAAGAGAAGUGUUCUAUUUCUCAGUCCUGAAGAUAUGCAAGAGGCAAAGAAAUCCAUGAAAGAAAAGGGUAUUAAAGCUGAAGAUGUUAAGAAUUUACCUCCUAUUGAAGAAAUACAUGGUCUUAAUUUACCGCCUGUCGAAGAAAUGCAUAAUUUUAAUCCAUCUCCUAUUGAAGAAAUACAUGGUCUUGAUAACCCGACACAGGUAGUAAAGGUAAAUUCUCUCUAUAGAUAUGAUGUGACACCCCCAAUUCAAUCGUACACUAAUCAUACACGCAAACGUGUACGAUCAAGAUCAGGGAAUCACGGGAAGAUAUCACAACACAACUCUACAAAUAAAAUAAGUCAUACAAGCAUCAUAUUACAAGCCAGGGGGCCUCGAGGGCUCGAAUACAAGAGCUCGAUCAUAGACGAGUCAGCGGAGGCAACAAUAUCUGAGUAUAGACAUAAGUUAAACAAGUUUGCCUUAAGAAGGCUAGCACAAACUGGGAUACAGAUCGAAAGAGUGCAUGUCUCCUGCCUGGGAUCCUCCUAAACUACUCAUGGUCAUCGUCAGCGGGCUGCACGUAGUAGUAGGCACCUCCCAAGUAGUAGUAGUCGUCAUCGACAGUGGCGUCUGGCUCCUGGACUCCAACGUCUGGUCGCAGCAAACGGGUAUAGGAAAGGGGGAAAAGAGGGAGAAAAGCAACCGUGAGUACUCAUCCAAAGUACUUGCAAGCAAGGAGCUACACUACAUAUGUAUGCAUUGGUAUCAAAUGGAUUAAGGGUAUCAUAUGUGGACUGAACUGCAGAAUGCCGGAAUAAGGGGGGAUAGCUAGUCCUUUCGAAUACUACGCCUCUGGUAACCUCCAUCUUGCAGCAGGAGAAGAGAGUAGAUGGUAAGUUCACCAAGUAGCAUCAUGUAGCAUAAUCCUACCCGGCGAUCCUCUCCUCGUCGCCCUGUUAGAGAGCGAUCACCGGGUUGUAUCUGGCACUUGGAAGAGUGUGUUUUAUUAAGUAACUAGUUCUAGUUGUCAUAAGGUCAAGGUACAACUCCAAGUCGUCCUGUUAUAGAAGAUCAUGGCUAUUCGAAUAAAUUAACUUCCCUGUAGGGGUGCACCACAUUUCCCAGCACGCUCGAUCCCCUUUGUCCGGACACACUUGUCUAGGUCAUGCCCGGCCUCGGAAGAUCAACACGUCGCAGCCCUACCUAGGCACAACAGAGAGGUCAGCACGCCGGUCUAAAUCCUAUGGCGCAGGGGUCUGGGCCCAUCACCCAUUGCACACCUGCAUGUUGCGUACGCGGCCGGUGAGCAGACCUUGCCUCCCUUAUACAAGAGCAGGCGUUCCAAUCCAACCCGGAGCGCGCCGCUCAGUCGCUGACAUCACGAAGGCUUCGACUGAUACCACGACGUCGAGUGCCCAUAAUUGUCCCCGCGUAGAUGGUUAGUGCGUAUAGGCCAGUAGCCAGACUCUGAUCAAAUACCAAGAUCUCGUUAAGCGUGUUAAGUAUCCGCUAACACCGACCAGGGCCAGGCCCACCUCUCUCCUAGGUGGCCUCAACCUGCCCUGUCGCUCUGCCACAAAGCAACAGUCGGGGGCCGUCGGGAACCCAGGCCCACCUCUACCAGGAUGGAGCCACCUGCCCCUUCAGCCCCCAUCUCCGAACAGUAUCAUAAGUAAUGUAACAGUAUAAGUAUAUAUCAUAUGCCCGUGAUCACUCCUCCCGAGUGAUCACGGCCCAGUAGUAUAGCAUGGCAGACAGACAAGAGUGUAGGGCCACUGAUGGAACACUAGCAUCCUAUACUAAGCAUUUAGGAUUGCAGGUAAAGGUAACAACAGUAGUAGCAAGGACAGGUUAUGCAUCAAGAUAGGAUAACGGAAAGUAGUAACAUGCUACACUACUCUAAUGCAAGCAGUAGAAAGAGAGUAGGCGAUAUCCGGUGAUCAAGGGGGGCUUGCCUGGUUGCUUUGGCAAGAGAGAGGGGUCGUCAACACCGUAGUCGUACUGGGUAGCAGCGGCGUCGGUCUCGGUAUCUAGCGACAGAAGAGGGGGAAGAAACAAUAAAUAUUAAGCAAACAAAUGCAUAGCGAUGCAUGUCAUGACAAGUAGCGGUGCUAGGGGUGCCCUAACACGGUAAAAGGCGGUACCGGUGAAGGGGGGAAACAUCCGGGAAAAUAUCUCCGGUGUUUCGCAUUUUCGGACAGACGAAUUGGAGGGGGAAAAGUUGCGUGUUCGCUAUGCUAGGGAUGCGUGGCGGACGAAUUGGUUGCGUAUCCGGAUUCCUCUCGUCGUUCUGAGCAACUUUCAUGUACAAUGUUUUUUCAUCCGAGCUACGGUUUAUUUUAUAUUAAUUUUAAAAGAAUUAAAUCAUUUUUAGGAUUUAUUUAAUUAUUUUAAUUCAACAUUAUCCAGAAUAGUGUUUGCUGACGUCAUCAUGACGUCAAUAGUUGACCUGGUCAACCUGACAGGUGGGUCCCGUUCAUUAGUGACACAUUUAAUUAUCCAGCCAAGUGUACUAGGAUGACAUCACCUUACCGAGCCAUGUAAGGACCAAUGUUAUGACUCUUGGAAAAAUGUUCUAACCAUCAUAUUUGACCGAGAUUUAGAUCUGAUUGGUGUCAUGGUACCUCAGACUUAGGAUGCCUGAGAAUAAAAGGCGUGGCACAAUUUGACGAGAUGACAUUGUAAGAUUCUCGGGAAAAUGAACUAUGGAAGCGAGUUCCAAAACAAGGGUUCAUCAUUAAAACAAGGAGAGGGUGAGGAGGCAGCUGAUGAAUUUAGCGACAAUUCAUCGAGAUUUCCAAAAGAUGUAUUUCCACAAUUAUGUGAAUAGGGAGAUAACAUUUGUCAGAUCAAAUGAUAUAAUGAGGUAUGCUCGUGGAAAACAUACCCAAUUAAACAUUGGUUGAAAGGUGCACCCGAAAUAUCCCUUUUUUUGUUUUGUUUUACCUUUUGUCUUUUCUUUUUUAUUUAUUCUUUUCUGUUUUAGUUUAGUCACACUUUAUUUUAGUUUUUAUAAAAUAUGACCAUAGCUCCUAAAAUAAGGUUUCAGAACAUCCCUCUACCAUAAAAAGUUUGGUGGUCAAUUAGACUAGUUUAACAUUUGUUUAUUAUUUAAAAUCAUUUGAAUAAUUGUUUUGCUAUGGUUUUAUUCACUUUAGAGUAUUUAAUCAUUUCAUAAAAGUGUGGUUCCUCCACCAUAAUUGAUUAUGAUUUAUUUGCUACAAUUUGAACAUUUUUUAUUUGACAAUUGAAAACUUUUAAUGUUUGACUUUAAUUGAAAUUUGAAUUUGGCUCGGAUCUGAACUAACACGAGAUUAGCAACAAUAAUCGUGGUGACGUGGCAUCAUUACCAGAGGGUUACUGUAGCUUGAUUAUCUGGGCGUCACAAUUCUCCUCCACUACAAGAAAUCUCGUCCCGAGAUUUAAGAGGGGAGUAAGGGAAAGAUGUGGCUAUGAAAUUCUAUCGAGUCUUCUCGGUCUUGGUUGCUCUUCUCGAAGAGGUCGAUCCUUUACAUUGACGCCUUCAUUCCUCUGCUUCAGGUCAUCAUGAGGAAGUCAUCAUCCUUUUCUUUGGGAACUCCAACGUACUUACGAAUAGGUAAGGGGCAGCUCGGCUACGACAACAUGCUUACGAGGGAAACAAUCUGGGGUUAACCAUGAAUGAGCAUAAGAUUAUCCCUCGAGUUGAACAUAUAAAAUACAUUGAGAGUAUAAUACGAAGGUACAAUGAGAGGGUCCAAGCGGAUAGAUAGCUGCUCAAAGUCUGAACCAGAGUGAGAAAAGGGUUCAGAGCGGCGAGAGUAAGCAUUGCGUCUGAUACCAUAAUAGAGCAGUAGGAAGGUGGCUCGCGAAUUACCUACGAAGCCAAGCAUAAGGGAUAACUUUGAAGCAGGGAUGUACAGGAGAGUCAGGUUUCGAUCCUGUAGAACUGUGGGUUAUGGGCCCACCAUGUGGGUUAAAAGUAGGAAGGGCGGUGACGUCUUGCACGAUCAUGUAAGCAAGGCAUGUCAGAGGAUAGCAUGUUAGUUAUGUCGGCAACAACCUCGGUACCAAGGGCGAGGGACGAAGAGAACCAUUUUCCUGCUCGUUGAACGAGGCGGACCAUUAGGUAAAGUUCUCGUCCAUCGGUGGAUACCGGAAUGUCAUCAACAAUAGUAACAGGUUCUUACUGACAAAGUUGUACACCGAGGUGCUUACAAAAGCAGUGACUUGUUACUGCUUAGAUCAUAUAAACCUCAAGAAGGUUAAACAAAAUAAUGGAAAGGAGAAUGUGAUUAUCAGAUUAAACAGAACAAUGGAAAGGAAAAUGUGUUUAAACACAUAUUCAAGGGUAUAUCCUUUCCAAGGACAAGCAAAGCAUGAUAUCCAUGACAUGAUAUAAGGUAGAAAACUCUUUAGGUAGGGGAGAGAAAUUUCAUGACAUUACCCAUACAACGGUGUUUGGAUAAUUGAGCAAGAAUCAUUUAGCAUUGGGCUUCAAAUGUUCUUGUUUAAAAAAACGGAGUACCGCAGGCAUGCUUCGAGAUAUCAUUGACAUGGUCUUCAAGCAAAGGUUGGACUUGGAUAUACAAAGGAUUCAUCAGGAACAACUUAUAGAAUAAGUCUUACAAUUUCCUCAUGGAAGAAUGGUUAACCUUGCUAAAAUGGAAACUAUAACAAUAGGUCCUCCGGCCAAGUGUACUAGGAUGACAUCACCUUACCGAGCCAUGUAAGGACCAAUGUUAUGACUCUUGGAAAAAUGUUCUAACCAUCAUAUUUGACCGAGAUUUAGAUCUGAUUGGUGUCAUGGUACCUCAGACUUAGGAUGCCUGAGAAGAAAAGGUGUGGCACAAUUUGACGAGAUGACAUUGUAAGAUUCUCGGGAAAAUGAACUAUGGAAGCGAGUUCCAAAACAAGGGUUCAUCAUUAAAACAAGGAGAGGGUGAGGAGGCAGCUGAUGAAUUUAGCGACAAUUCAUCGAGAUUUCCAAAAGAUGGAUUUCCACAAUUAUGUGAAUAGGGAGAUAACAUUUGUCAGAUCAAAUGAUAUAAUGAGGUAUGCUCGUGGAAAACAUACCCAAUUAAACAUUGGUUGAAAGGUGCACCCGAAAUAUCCCUUUUUUUGUUUUGUUUUACCUUUUGUCUUUUCUUUUUAUUUAUUCUUUUCUAUUUUAGUUUAGUCACACUUUAUUUUAGUUUUUAUAAAAUAUGACCAUAGCUCCUAAAAUAAGGUUUCAGAACAUCCCUCUACCAUAAAAAGUUUGGUGGUCAAUUAGACUAGUUUAACAUUUGUUUAUUAUUUAAAAUCAUUUGAAUAAUUGUUUUGCUAUGGUUUUAUUCACUUUAGAGUAUUUAAUCAUUUCAUAAAAGUGUGGUUCCUCCACCAUAAUUGAUUAUGAUUUAUUUGCUACAAUUUGAACAUUUUUUAUUUGACAAUUGAAAACUUUUAAUGUUUGACUUUAAUUGAAAUUUGAAUUUGGCUCGGAUCUGAACUAACACGAGAUUAGCAACAAUAAUCGUGGUGACGUGGCAUCAUUACCAGAGGGUUACUGUAGCUUGAUUAUCUGGGCGUCACAAUUCUCCUCCACUACAAGAAAUCUCGUCCCGAGAUUUAAGAGGGGAGUAAGGGAAAGAUGUGGCUAUCAAAUUCUAUCGAGUCUUCUCGGUCUUGGUUGCUCUUCUCGAAGAGGUCGAUCCUUUACAUCGACGCCUUCAUUCCUCUGCUUCAGGUCAUCAUGAGGAAGUCAUCAUCCUUUUCUUCGGGAACUCCAACGUACUUACGAAUAGGUAAGGGGCAGCUCGGCUACGACAACAUGCUUACGAGGGAAACAAUCUGGGGUUAACCAUGAAUGAGCAUAAGAUUAUCCCUCGAGUUGAACAUAUAAAAUACAUCGAGAGUAUAAUACGAAGGUACAAUGAGAGGGUCCAAGCGGAUAGAUAGCUGCUCAAAGUCUGAACCAGAGUGAGAAAAGGGUUCAGAGCGGCGAGAGUAAGCAUUGCGUCUGAUACCAUAAUAGAGCAGUAGGAAGGUGGCUCGCGAAUUACCUACGAAGCCAAGCAUAAGGGAUAACUUUGAAGCAGGGAUGUACAGGAGAGUCAGGUUUCGAUCCUGUAGAACUGUGGGUUAUGGGCCCACCAUGUGGGUUAAAAGUAGGAAGGGCGGUGACGUCUUGCACGAUCAUGUAAGCAAGGCAUGUCAGAGGAUAGCCUGUUAGUUAUGUCGGCAACAACCUCGGUACCAAGGGCGAGGGACGAAGAGAACCAUUUUCCUGCUCGUUGAACGAGGCGGACCAUUAGGUAAAGUUCUCGUCCAUCGGUGGAUACCGGAAUGUCAUCAACAAUAGUAACAGGUUCUUACUGACAAAGUUGUACACCGAGGUGCUUACAAGAGCAGUGACUUGUUACUGCUUAGAUCAUAUAAACCUCAAGAAGGUUAAACAAAAUAAUGGAAAGGAGAAUGUGAUUAUCAGAUUAAACAAAACAAUGGAAAGGAAAAUGUGUUUAAACACAUAUUCAAGGGUAUAUCCUUUCCAAGGACAAGCAAAGCAUGAUAUCCAUGACAUGAUAUAAGGUAGAAAACUCUUUAGGUAGGGGAGAGAAAUUUCAUGACAUUACCCAUACAACGGUGUUUGGAUAAUUGAGCAAGAAUCAUUUAGCAUUGGGCUUCAAAUGUUCUUGUUUAAAAAAACGGAGUACCGCAGGCAUGCUUCGAGAUAUCAUUGACAUGGUCUUCAAGCAAAGGUUGGACUUGGAUAUACAAAGGAUUCAUCAGGAACAACUUAUAGAAUAAGUCUUACAAUUUCCUCAUGGAAGAAUGGUUAACCUUGCUAAAAUGGAAACUAUAACAAUAGGUCCUCCGGCCAAGUGUACUAGGAUGACAUCACCUUACCGAGCCAUGUAAGGACCAAUGUUAUGACUCUUGGAAAAAUGUUCUAACCAUCAUAUUUGACCGAGAUUUAGAUCUGAUUGGUGUCAUGGUACCUCAGACUUAGGAUGCCUGAGAAGAAAAGGUGUGGCACAAUUUGACGAGAUGACAUUGUAAGAUUCUCGGGAAAAUGAACUAUGGAAGCGAGUUCCAAAACAAGGGUUCAUCAUUAAAACAAGGAGAGGGUGAGGAGGCAGCUGAUGAAUUUAGCGACAAUUCAUCGAGAUUUCCAAAAGAUGGAUUUCCACAAUUAUGUGAAUAGGGAGAUAACAUUUGUCAGAUCAAAUGAUAUAAUGAGGUAUGCUCGUGGAAAACAUACCCAAUUAAACAUUGGUUGAAAGGUGCACCCGAAAUAUGGGCUUAGGUAGCAUGACCGAUGUAAGAAUGGUGAUUCUAUAACCAAUGGUCUAAGAAUGAAAUGUCGACCAUUAACUUCAAAGCAAUAUGGUUGCUAGAAGUGCAGAAUCCAAGCAGCACCAUUCAUCUGUUGGUAUCCCGACUAGAAUCAACACAGGAACCAAGAAAGAAUGGUGAUGGCGAGAAGUAUCACUAUACCAAUAAUUCUAAAGAGGUGGAGCAAUUGUCACAACCUUCUUGACAUAUAAGAUAGUAAUACUCCAAGGUAAAGAAGAAUAAUUGCUGGAUAGCAAGGAUCUCAAAGUAUAACACAAAACAUGAAUAAGUUUGUGUUGGAGGGAAGUUAAUAAAGUGGUCGAUGAUAACACAGAUCAUCGAGGGCAAGGAUGGUAUUUCUCAUAAUGAACUCAAUUGACAUCCUGGAAGAGCUCAGAAUGCCUAUGAUGAUCACGACACAAUUGUUGAGAUAUUUCAUGAAGAUGUAACCGGUCAGCGAUGACAUCAAGCCAAAGGAAUGAUGAGGCGGAAGGUUAUUAAACCCAAGGGUAUGACACAAACUCGAAACCAAGCUCGUUGUUUAAGGCAAAGUGGUAUGAUGAGGAAGAUCGAUGUAAGCUUAGCUCAUCGUCGAAAGUUGUGCUCCGGGAAUAAGGACCAGGUAGCACAGUUAAAAUCAUCACAAUAAUGAUAUAGCCAAAUAGGGUAGGAAGGAUGUGAUCGGGUACAAACUCGUAAGCAAAUAAGAUUUAUAAUAGUUGUUGAACCGUAGUGUGGACUCGGUUCAGUUAUCGGUUUUUGAGUGUUUAAUAACUCAAAGCCCGUGAAAAAUUGGAAUGAGUGAGAAUGUAGUACUUGAUGAAGAACUCAUAAUAGGUUAUGUAGUACUUGAUAUUAUCGAGGUACCAUGGUGUAAUACUCAACGAAAGAUCAAAGUAAAGGUUGGACUGGUGUAUUGAUUCACAGAAGACAAGUGCUUAAACUUGCCCGUGAAAUGGGGUCAAAGAAGAACAUAUGGUCGAAACCACGAUUGCAAAAGGCCGGAUCCCAGAUAUAAGAACUUAUACCAAGGGAAAAAAUUAAUUUAAGAGAAGCUUUAAUGAUAAGAUCUACAUCGUGUCCAUGGGCAUGAACACAAAGUUCAAGGUCGACUCCCACUUCUUCAAUGCAUAACCUUUCAUUCACUGCUCUAGAUAAAAAUGAUUUCAGUGUCAAAACCUACCUGGUGAAUUACCAGAGGAGUAUGACCCGUGAAAACUUUCGGGUUCACAUAGAUUAAGAAAGGCAUAAGUUCAACCCGUCAGGGUAUCGUGGAAACAUAUACCACAAGCUUCAAUCGUAAAUACCACCAGCUCGAAAACAGAGCAUGGUUGAGAAAACAGAGGAUACAAUUUACCAAAAGCAUUAUGUGUUGGAAAUAUGCCCUAGAGGCAAUAAUAAAUUAGUUAUUAUUAUAUUUCCUUGUUCAUGAUAAUCGUUUAUUAUCCAUGCUAGAAUUGUAUUGAUAGGAAACUCAGAUACAUGUGUGGAUACAUAGACAACAGCAUGUCCCUAGUAAGCCUCUAGUUGACUAGCUCGUUGAUCAAUAGAUGGUUACGGUUUCCUGACCAUGGACAUUGGAUGUCGUUGAUAAUGGGAUCACAUCAUUAGGAGAAUGAUGUGAUGGACAAGACCCAGUCCUAAGCCUAGCACAAGAUCAUGUAGUUCGUAUGCUAAAGCUUUUCUAAUGUCAAGUAUCAUUUCCUUAGACCAUGAGAUUGUGCAACUGCCAGAUACCGUAGGAGUGCUUUGGGUGUGCCAAACGUCACAACGUAACUGGGUGGCUAUAAAGGUACACUACAGGUAUCUCCGAAAGUGUCUGUUGGGUUGGCACGAAUCGAGACUGGGAUUUGUCACUCCGUGUAAACAGAGAGGUAUCUCUGGGCCCACUCGGUAGGACAUCAUCAUAAUGUGCACAAUGUGAUCAAGGAGUUGAUCACGGGAUGAUGUGUUACGGAACGAGUAAAGAGACUUGCUGGUAACGAGAUUGAACAAGGUAUUGGGAUACCGACGAUCGAAUCUCGGGCAAGUAUCGUACCGCUAGACAAAGGGAAUUGUAUACGGGAUUGAUUAAGUCCUUGACAUCGUGGUUCAUCUGAUGAGAUCAUCGUGGAACAUGUGGGAGCCAACAUGGGUAUCCAGAUCCCGCUGUUGGUUAUUGACCAGAGAGUUAUCUUGGUCAUGUCUGCAUGGUUCCCGAACCCGUAGGGUCUACACACUUAAGGUUCGAUGACGCUAGGGUUAUAGGGAAUAGAUAUACGUGGUUACCGAAUGUUGUUCGGAGUCCCGGAUGAGAUCCCGGACGUCACGAGGAGUUCCGGAAUGGUACGGAGGUAAAGAUUUAUAUAUGGGAAGUCCUGUUUUGGUCACUGGAAAAGUUUCGGGUUUUAUCGGUAACAUACCGAGACCACCAGGAGGGUCCCGGGGGUCCACCAAGUGGGGCCACCGGCCCCGGAGGUCUGCAUGGGCCAAGUGUGGGAGGGGACCAGCCCCAGGUGGGCUGGUGCGCCCCCCACAAGGGCCCAAGGCGCCUAGGGUUUGGGGAGGGGGCGCCCCACCUAGCUUGGGGGGCAACUUUCCCCUCUUCCCCCCCUUGGCCGCCCCACCAGAUGGGAUCUGGGCUGGCCGCCGCCCCUAGGGUGGAACCCUAGGUGGGGGCGCAGCCCCCUCCCUCUCCCCUAUAUAUAGUUGAGGUCUUUGGGGCUGCCAACACAUGAGUUUUGACCUCUUCCUGGCGCAGCCCUACCUCUCUCCCUCCUCGUCUCUUGCGGUGCUUGGCGAAGCCCUGCUGGAGUACCACGCUCCUCCACCACCACCACGCCGUCGUGCUGCUGCUGGAUGGAGUCUUCCUCAACCUCUCCUUCUCUCCUUGCUGGAUCAAGGCAUGGGAGACGUCACCGGGCUGUACAUGUGUUGAACGCGGAGGUGCCGUCCGUUCGGCACUAGGAUCUCCGGUGAUUUGGAUCACGACGAGUACGACUCCUUCAACCCCGUUCUCUUGAAUGCUUCCGCUUAGUGAUCUACAAGAGUAUGUAGAUGCACUCUCCUUCCCCUCGUUGCUGGUCUCUCCAUAGAUAGAUCUUGGUGACACGUAGGAAAAUUUUGAAUUUCUGCUACGUUCCCCAACAGUGGCAUCAUGAGCUAGGUCUAUGCGUAGUUUCAAUGCACGAGUAGAACACAAAGUAGUUGUGAGCGUUGAUUUUGUUCAAUAUGCUUACCGUUACUAGUCCAAUCUUGAUUCGGCGGCAUCGUGGGAUGAAGCGGCCCGGACCGACCUUACACGUACUCUUACAUGAGACUGGUUCCACCGACUGACAUGCACUAGUUGCAUAAGGUGGCUAGCGGGUGUCUGUCUCUCCCACUUUAGUCGGAUCGGAUUCGAUGAAAAGGGUCCUUAUGAAGGGUAAAUAGCAAUUGGCAUAUCACGUUGUGGUUUUUGCGUAGGUAAGAAACGUUCUUGCUAGAAACCCAUAGACGUAAAACAUGCAAACAACAAUUAGAGGACGUCUAACUUGUUUUUACAAGGGGUAUGCUAUGUGAUGUGAUAUGGCCAAGAAGAAUGUGAUGAAUGAUAUGUGAUGUAUGAGAUUGAUCAUGUUCUUGUAAUAGGAAUCACGACUUGCAUGUCGAUGAGUAUGACAACCGGCAGGAGCCAUAGGAGUUGUCUUUAUUUAUUGUAUAACCUGCGUGUCAUUGAACAACGCCAUGUAAUUACUUUACUUUAUUGCUAACCGGUAGCCAUAGUAGUAGAAGUAAUAAGUUGGCGAGACAACUUCAUGGAGACACGAUGGAGAUCGUGAUGAUGGAGAUCAUGGUGUCAUGCCGGUGACAAGAUGAUCAUGGAGCCCCAAGAUGGAGAUCAAAGGAGCUGUAUGAUAUUGGCCAUAUCAUGUCACUGUUUUUUUGAUUGCAUGUGAUGUUUAUAAUGUUUUUGCAUCUUAUUUGCUUAGAACGACGGUAGUAAAUAAGAUGAUCCCUCAUUAAAAUUUCAAGAAAGUGUUCCCCCUAACUGUGCACCGUUGCGAAAGUUUGUCGUUUCAAAGCACCACGUGAUGAUCGGGUGUGAUAGAUUCUUACGUUCGAAUACAACGGGUGUUGACGAGCCUAGCAUGUACAGACAUGGCCUCGGAACACAUGCGAAACACUUAGGUUAACUUGACGAGCCUAGCAUGUACAUACAUGGCCUCGGAACACAAGAGACCGAAAGGUCGAGCAUGAGUCAUAUGGUAGAUACGAUCAACAUGAAGAUGUUCACCGAUGAUGACUAGUCCGUCUCACGUGAUGAUCGGACACGGCCUAGUUGACUCGGAUCAUGUAAUCACUUAGAUGACUAGAGGGAUGUCUAUCUAAGUGGGAGUUCAUAAGAUGAACUUAAUUAUCCUGAACAUAGUCAAAAGGUCUUCGCAAAUUAUGUCGUAGCUCGCGCUUCAGUUCUACUGUUUAGAUAUGUUCCUAGAGAAAAUUUAGUUGAAAGUUGAUAGUAGCAAUUAUGCGGACUAGGUCCGUAAAUUGAGGAUUGUCCUCAUUGCUUCAUAGAAGGCUUAUGUCCUUAAUGCACCGCUCAGUGUGCUAAACCCCGAACGUCGUCUGUGGAUGUUGCGAACAUCUGACAUACACAUUUUGAUAACUACGUGAUAGUUCAGUUAAACGGUUUAGAGUUGAGGCACCGAAGACGUUUUAAAACGUCGCGAAACAUAUGAGAUGUUUCGAGGGCUGAAAUUGGGAUUUCAGGCUCGUGCCCACGUCAAGAGGUAUAAGACCUCUGACGAUUUUCUUAGCCUGCAAACUAAGGGAGAAAAUCUCAAUUGUUGAGCUUGUGCUCAGAUUGUCUGAGUACAACAAUCAUUUGAAUCAAGUGGGAGUUGAUCUUCCAGAUGAGAUAGUGAUGUUUCUCCGAAGUCAUUACCACCAAGCUGCUAGAGCUUCGUGAUGAACUAUAAUAUAUCAGGGACAUAUGUGAUGAUCCUUGAGAUAUUCGCGAUUUUUGACACCACAAAUGUAGAAAUCAAGAAGGAGCAUCAAUUGUUGAUGGUUGGUGAAACCACUAGUUUCAAGAAGGGCAAGGGCAAGAAGGGAUACUUCAUGAAACGGCAAAUCAGCUGCUGCUCUAGUGAAGAAACCCAAAGUUGAACCCAAACCCGAGACUAAGUGCUUAUGUAAUAAGGGGAACAACCACUGGAGCAGAUUUACCCUAGAUACUUGGUAGAUGAGAAGGCUGGCAAGGUCGAUAGAAGUAUAUUGGAUAUACAUUGUGUUAAUGUGUACUUUACUAGUACUCCUAGUAGCACCAUGGUAUUAGAUACCGGUUCGGUUGCUAAGUGUUAGUAAACUCGAAAUAAAAGGCUGCAGAGUAAACGGAGACUAGCUAAAGGUGAGCUGGCGAUAUGUGUUGGAAGUUUUUCCCAAGCUUGAUGUGAUCAAGCAUCGCACGCUCCCUCUACCAUCGUGAUUGGUGUUUGCGUUGAGCAUAGACGUGAUUGGAUUAUGUCUAUCACAAUACGGUUAUUCAUUUAAGGAGAAUAAUGGUUACUCUGUUUAUUUGAAUAAUACCUUCAAUGGUCUUGCACUUAAAAUGAAUGGUUUAUUGAAUCUCGAUCGUAGUGAUACACAUUUUCAUGCCAAAGGUAUAAGAUAGUAAUGAUAGUACCACACAAUGUGGCACUGCAAUUUGAGUCAUAUCGGUAUAAAACGCAUGAAGAAGCUCCAUGUUGAUGGAUCUUUGGGCUCACUCAUUUUUGAAAAGUUUGAGACAUGCGAACCAUGUCUAUUGGUGUAUAUGCAUGAAGAAACUCCAUGCAAAUGGACCGUUUGGACUCACUUGAUUUUGAAUCACUUGAGACAUGCAAAUCAUACCACAUGGGCAAGAUGACUGAAAGCCUCAUUUUCAGUAAAAUGGAACUAGAAAGCAACUUCUUGGAAGUAAUACGUUUUGAUGCGUGCAGUCCAAUGAGUGCUGAGGCGUGUAGUGGAUAUCGUUAUGUUCUUACUUCACAGAUGAUUUGAGUAGAUGUUGAGUAUAUUUACUUGAUGAAUCACGAGUCUGAAUUAUUGAAAGGUUCAAGUAAUUUCAGGGUGAAGGUGAGAGAUCGUCGUGACAAGAGGAUAAAAUAUCUAUGAUAUGAUCAUAGAGAUGAAUAUCUGAAUUAUGAGUUUGGCACAAAAUUAAGACAUUGUGGAAAUUGUUUCACAACUAAUACAGCCUGGAACACCGUAGUGUGAUGGUGUGUCCGAACAUCAUAACUGCACCCUAUUGGAUAUGAUGCAUACCAUGAUGUCUCUUAUCGAAUUACCACGAUAGCUUAUGGGUUAUGCAUUAGAGACAACCACAUUCACUUUAAAUAGGGCACCACGUAAUUCCGAUGAGAUGACACCGUAUGAACUAUGGUUUAGAGAAACCUAAGCUGUCAUUUCUUAAAAGUUUGGGGCUGCGACGCUUAUGUGAAAAAGUUUCAGGCUGAUAAGCUCGAACCCAAAGCGGAUAAAUGCAUCUUCAUAGGACACCCAAAACAGUUGGGUAUACCUCCUGUCUCAGAUCCGAAAGCAAUAAGGGAUUGUUUCUAGAAUCGGGUCCUUUCUCGAGGAAAAGUUUCUCUCGAAAGAAUUGAGUGGGAGGAUGGUGGAGACUUGAUGAGGUUAUUGAACCGUCUCUUCAACUAGUGUGUGGCAGGGCACAGGGAGUUGUUCUUGUGGCACCUACACCAAUUGAAGUAGAAGCUUAUGAUAGUGAUCAUGAAACUUCAGAUCAAGUCACUACCAAACCUUGUGGGAUGACAAGGAUGCAUACUACUUCAGAGUGGUACGUAAUCCUGUCUUGGAAGUCAUGUUGCUAGACAACAAUGAACCUACGAGCUAUGGAGAAGCGAUGGUGGGCCUGGAUUCCAAAAUGGCUCGAGGCCAUAUAAUCUGAGAGAGGAUCCAUAUAUGAAAACAAAGUGUAGACUUUGGAAGAACUACUUGAUGGUCGUAAGGCUGUUAGGUACAUAUGGAUUUUAAAAGGAAGACGGACAAUGAUGGUAAGUAUCACCAUUAAGAAAGCUCGACUUGUCGUUAAGAUGUUUUUUCCGACAAGUUCAAGGAGUUGACUACGAUGAGAAUUUCUCACCCGUAGCGAUGCUUAAGUCCGUCGGAAUCAUGUUAGCAUUAGCUGUAUUUUUCGAUUAUGAAAUCUUGCAGAUGGAUGUCAAAACAAGUUUUCUUACCAAGUUUUCGUAAGAAAAGUUGUAUGUGAUACAAUAGAAGGUUUUGUCAAUCCUGAAAGAUGCUAACAAGUAUGCAAAGCUCCAGCAAUCCUUCUAAGGACUGGAGUAAGCAUCUCGGAGUUGGAAUGUAUGCUUUGAUGAGAUGAUCAAAGAUUUUGGGUGUAUGCAAAGUUUAUGAGAAACUUGUAUUUCCAAAGAAGUGAGUGGGAGCACUAUAGAAUUUCUGAUGAAUAUAUGUUGUUGACAUAUUGUUGAUCAGAAAUGACGUAGAAUUUCUAGAAAGCAUGCAGAGUUAUUUGAAAAGUGUUUUUCAAUGGAAAGCCUGGAUUAAGCUACUUGAACGUUGAGCAUCAAGAUCUAUGAGGAUAGAUCAAAACGCUUAAUGGUACUUUCAAAUGAGCACAUACCUUGACAUGAUCUUGAAGGUGUUCAAGAUGGAUCAGUCAAAGAAGGAGUUCUUGCCUGAGUUGUAAGGUAUGAAGUUAAGACUUAAAGCUCGACCACGACAGAAGAAAGAGGAAGGAUGAAGGUCGUCCCCUAUGCUUUUGUCAUACGCUCUAUACGGUGUGCCAUGCUGAGUACCGCACCUGAUGUGUGCCUUGCCACAUAUCUGGCAAGAGGGUACAAAGGUAAUCUAGGAGUAGAUCACCAGAUAGCGGUCUAAAUUAUCCUUAGAGGAAUAAGGAUAUGUUUCUCGGUUAUGGAGGUGAUAAAGAGUUCAACGUAAAGAGUUACGUCGAUGCAAGCUUAACACCUAUCCGGAUAGCUCUGAGUAGAGAUACCGGAUACGUAUAAUGGAGCAACAAUUUAGAAUAGCUCCAAGUAGAACAGUUAUUUGAAAUGGCUCCAAAUGUAGCGUAGUAGUUGCAUCCACAAGAUGACAUAGAAAUUUGUGAAGUACAUACGGAUCUGAAUUUUGCAGACCCGUUGACUGAAACCUCUCUCACAAGCAUAACAUGAUCAAACCCAGAACUCUUUGGGUGUUAGUCACAUGGGGAUGUGACCUUGAGUGUUAAUCACAUAGCGAUGUGAACUAGAUUAUUGACUCUAGUGCAAGUGGGAGACUGUUGGAAAUAUGUCCUAGAGGCAAUAAUAAAUUAGUUAUUAUUAUAUUUCCUUGUUCAUGAUAAUCGUUUAUUAUCCAUGCUAGAAUUGUAUUGAUAGGAAACUCAGAUACAUGUGUGGAUACAUAGACAACACCAUGUCCCUAGUAAGCCUCUAGUUGACUAGCUCGUUGAUCAAUAGAUGGUUACGGUUUCCUGACCAUGGACAUUGGAUGUCGUUGAUAACGGGAUCACAUCAUUAGGAGAAUGAUGUGAUGGACAAGACCCAAUCCUAAGCCUAGCACAAGAUCAUGUAGUUCGUAUGCUAAAGCUUUUCUAAUGUCAAGUAUCAUUUCCUUAGACCAUGAGAUUGUGCAACUGCCAGAUACCGUAGGAGUGCUUUGGGUGUGCCAAACGUCACAACGUAACUGGGUGGCUAUAAAGGUACACUACAGGUAUCUCCGAAAGUGUCUGUUGGGUUGGCACGAAUCGAGACUGGGAUUUGUCACUCCGUGUAAACAGAGAGGUAUCUCUGGGCCCACUCGGUAGGACAUCAUCAUAAUGUGCACAAUGUGAUCAAGGAGUUGAUCACGGGAUGAUGUGUUACGGAACGAGUAAAGAGACUUGCUGGUAACGAGAUUGAACAAGGUAUCGGGAUACCGACGAUCGAAUCUCGGGCAAGUAUCGUACCGCUAGACAAAGGGAAUUGUAUACGGGAUUGAUUAAGUCCUUGACAUCGUGGUUCAUCUGAUGAGAUCAUCGUGGAACAUGUGGGAGCCAACAUGGGUAUCCAGAUCCCGCUGUUGGUUAUUGACCAGAGAGUUAUCUUGGUCAUGUCUGCAUGGUUCCCGAACCCGUAGGGUCUACACACUUAAGGUUCGAUAACACUAGGGUUAUUGGGAAUAGAUAUACGUGGUUACCGAAUGUUGUUCGGAGUCCCGGAUGAGAUCCCGGAUGUCACGAGGAGUUCCGGAAUGGUCCGGAGGUAAAGAUUUAUAUAUGGGAAGUCCUGUUUUGGUCACCGGAAAAGUUUCGGGUUUUAUCGGUAACAUACCGGGACCACCACGAGGGUCCCAGGGUCCACCAAGUGGGGCCACCGGCCCCGGAGGGCUGCAUGGGCCAAGUGUGGGAGGGGACCAGCCCCAGGUGGGCUGGUGCGCCCCCCCACAAGGGCCCAAGGCGCCUAGGGUUUGGGGAGGGGGCGCCCCACCUAGCUUGGGGGGCAAGUUUCCCCUCUUCCCCCCUUGGCCGCCCCACCAGAUGGGAUCUGGGCUGGCCGCCGCCCCGAGGGUGGAACCCUAGGUGGGGGCGCAGCCCCCUCCCUCUCCCCUAUAUAUAGUUGAGGUCUUUGGGGCUGCCAACACAUGAGUUUUGACCUCUCCCUAGCACAGCCCUACCUCUCUCCCUCCUCGUCACCAUGCUCCUCCACCACCACCACGCUGUUGUGCUGCUGCUGGAUGGAGUCUUCCUCAACCUCUCCCUCUCUCCUUGCCGGAUCAAGGCAUGGGAGACGUCACCGGGCUGUACGAGUGUUGAACGCGGAGGUGCCGUCCGUUCGGCACUAGGAUCUCCGGUGAUUUGGAUCACGACGAGUACGACUCCUUCAACCCCGUUCUCUUGAACGCUUCCGCUUAGCGAUCUACAAGGGUAUGUAGACGCACUCUCCUUCCCCUCGUUGCUGGUCUCUCCAUAGAUAGAUCUUGGUGACACGUAGGAAAAUUUUGAAUUCCUGCUACGUUCCCCAACAUUAUGUAUCCGAGGAAAGGCUCACAAGGUUAUUGAAUAAGGAGGACACUGUCGAAUAAUAAUACAAUAAAGGAUCUGACGGUCCAUAGCGGAGCUGAUGUGAGCAUCGGCACACAAUCAGUUGAAGAAAGGAUGCAAGGGCAUCAGAUUAUAGAACACCUGAAUGAUUCGAUGCUUAGAUAUCAAAGGAAUUAUGAUUUCCAAAUAGAAGGAUCAGAAGCAGACACUCUGAUCAAGGGUGGAUAAGUUCAAUAGACAUAAGGGUACAAUUGACGGCAAACAGAUUGGUUGAGAACAAGCUCAUGUUCAAAAAUGACAUCCGAGCUAGAAAGAUAAUUUGAAAGGAUCAACUGAUGAUUGCGUGCAUUCGCACUCAUGUUGAAUUAAUAUGAUCAAAAUGACGGUGUCUAAGGAUACUGACAAAUAUUGCCAGACAUAUGGAAAGCAUCCAUAAUGCAAGCAGACAAGUAUUGCAGAGCAAUAAGCCACUAAGGAUUUUUGGAGGAUCGAAUAGUAUUUCGAAGACCAUUGUGAAACACAUGAACAAUUGGGGAUGAGCGGAUACUCGAUAAGUGCGAGAAUUAUCCAUAGGGGUAUUCAGGUGACAAAGAACAGCAAGGCAGUAAGCUUAAAGGAUUACCGAAACAACGAUGAGUAUUUCGGGGUAUCUUGUAAUAACAAGACCAACUGGGGAUGAAUGUAAGAAUAAAAACUGCAAGUAGUUAUCCAUAAGGGUUGACGGUGGAAGGGGAAUUGCAAACGCGAUGAACACAAGUUCUCGGUUUAACAGCGGAGAGUAUCUUCAGGGUCUUCACGUGCAGCAGACGAUCAUCAGUAAUAAGGGGCUCUCCGGGUGAAAGUGAUAACGAGAUCCUAAUGUUAGAUUUAGCAAAAUUCAUUUAACCCGAAUAGAAGAGAGAUCAGAGUCCCAGAGUAUAGACAAGGAGUAAAAGAUCCUAAUACCACCCAAUGGCGAUGUGGGCCCGUAAGCCACACAACCAUGUUAGUAAAAGUUUUUCAAUGACUAGACUCGACUUCAACCAAGAACCGUGGAAGGGGGAUUCCUACAGGCAGUCGGCUCUGAUACCAACUUGUGACUCCCACGAUUCAAUCGUACACUAAUCAUACACGCAUACGUGUACGAUCAAGAUCAGGGACUCACGGGAAGAUAUCACAACACAACUCUACAAAUAAAAUAAGUCAUACAAGCAUCAUAUUACAAGCCAGGGGGCCUCGAGGGCUCGAAUACAAGAGCUCGAUCAUAGACGAGUCAGCGGAAGCAACAAUAUCUGAGUACAGACAUAAGUUAAACAAGUUUGCCUUAAGAAGGCUAGCACAAACUGGGAUACAGAUCGAAAGAGGCGCAGGCCUCCUGCCUGGGAUCCUCCUAAACUACUCCUGGUCAUCGUCAGCGGGCUGCACGUAGUAGUAGGCACCUCCCGAGUAGUAGUAGUAGUCGUCAUCGACAGUGGCGUCUGGCUCCUGGACUCCAACGUCUGGUCGCAGCAAACGGGUAUAGGAAAGGGGAAAAAGGGGGAGAAAAGCAACCGUGAGUACUCAUCCAAAGUACUUGCAAGCAAGGAGCUACACUACAUAUGUAUGCAUUGGUAUCAAAUGGAUUAAGAGUAUCAUAUGUGGACUGAACUGCAGAAUGCCGGAAUAAGGGGGGAUAGCUAGUCCUUUUGAAGACUACGCCUCUGGUAACCUCCAUCUUGCAGCAGGAGAAGAGAGUAGAUGGUAAGUUCACCAAGUAGCAUCGUGUAGCAUAAUCCUACCCGGCGAUCCUCUCCUUGUCGCCCUGUUAGAGAGCGAUCACCGAGUUGUAACUGGCACUUGGAAGGGUGUGUUUUAUUAAGUAACCAGUUCUAGUUGUCAUAAGGUCAAGGUACAACUCCAAGUCGUCCUGUUACCGAAGAUCACGGCUAUUCAAAUAGAUUAACUUCCCUGCAGGGGUGCACCACAUUUCCCAACACGCUCGAUCCCCUUUGUCCGGACACACUUGUCUAGGUCAUGCCCGGCCUCGGAAGAUCAACACGUCGCAGCCCUACCUAGGCACAACAAAGAGGUCAGCACGCCGGUCUAAAUCCUAUGGCGCAGGGGUCUGGGCCCAUCGCCCAUUGCACACCUGCACGUUGCGUACGCGGUCGGUGAGCAGACCUAGCCUCCCUUAUAAAAGAGCAGACAUUCCAGUCCAACCCGGCGCGCGCCGCUCAGUCGCUGACAUCACAAAGGCUUCGGCUGAUACCACGACGUCAAGUGCCCAUAACUGUCCCCGCGUAGAUGGUUAGUGCGUAUAGGCCAGUAGCCAGACUCAGAUCAAAUACCAAGAUCUCGUUAAGCGUGUUAAGUAUCCGUGAAUGCCGACCAGGGCCAGGCCCACCUCUCUCCUAGGUGGCCUCAACCUGCCCCGCCGCUUUGCCAGAAAGCAACAGUCGGGGGCCGUCGGGAACCCAGGCCCACCUCUACCGGGAUGGAUCCACCUGCCCCUUCAGCCCCCAUCUUCGAAUAGUAUCAUAAGUAAUGUAACAGUAUAAGUAUAUAUCAUAUGUCCGUGAUCACCUCCCGAGUGAUCAUGGCCCAGUAGUAUAGCAUGGCAGACAGACAAGAGUGUAGGGCCACUGAUGGAACACUAGCAUCCUAUACUAAGCAUUUAGGAUUGCAGGUAAAGGUAACAACAAUAGUAGCAAGGACAGGCUAUGCAUCAAGAUAGGAUAAUAGAAAGCAGUAACAUGCUACACUACUCUAAUGCAAGCAGUAGAAAGAGAGUAGGCGAUAUCUGGUGAUCAAGGGGGAGGGGCUUGCUUGGUUGCUCUGGCAAGAGAGAGGGGUCGUCAACACCGUAGUCGUACUGGGUAGCAGCAGCGUCGAUCUCGGUGUCUAGCGGGAGAAGAGGGGGAAGAAACAAUAAAUAUUAAGCAAACAGAUGCAUAGCGAUGCAUGACAUGACAAGUAGCGGUGCUAGGGGUGCCCUAACGCGGUAAGAGGUGGUACCAGUGAAGGGGGGAAACAUCCGGGAAAAUAUCCGCGCUGUUUCACGUUUUCGGACAGACGAACCGAAGGGGGAAAGUAGCAUGUUCGCUAUGCUAGGAUGCGUGGCGGACGAACGGGUUGUGUAUCCGGAUUCGUCUCGUCGUUUUGAGCAACUUUCAUGUACAAAGUUUUUUCAUCCGAGCUACAGUUUAUUUUAUAUUAAUUUUAAAAGAAUUAAAUCAUUUUUAGGAUUUAUUUAAUUAUUUUAAUUCAACAUUAUCCAGAAUAGUGUUUGCUCACGGCAUCAUGACAUCAACAUGACGUCAGCAGUUGACCUGGUCAACCUGACAGGUGGGUCCCAUUCAUCAGUGACACAUUUAAUUAUCUAGUUUUAAUUAAUCUAAACAUGAUUAAUUAAGGGUGGGCCUCACUGUCAUUGACUACUUAAUUACUAACAGUAGUUAGUUUAAUUAGUUAUUUGGUUAAUCUUAAUUAUGAUUAAUUAGUUUAAUUAAUCAAGAUUAAUUAAGUUAUUUAUUUAUUUAUUAUUUAUUUAUAUAAAUUAUAUAUUAUUAUUUUCGUUUUCAUUCUCAGGGGCGUGGGCCCCGUUUGUCAUUGGCCCAGAAGGGGCAUAGCGGGUCGGGCACAAGCGGGUUAUAGGGACUGUAGAGGGUGCGGGCGCUGCCCAGGCGUAGCGUCACCUGAAUGCCAGGGCGCGGCGGGGAGAGGCUGGCGAGGCAUCGGUGACCACGACGCCGAGCAGGCGGAGGAGGGUGCGGGGAGGCUCGCCGGGAGCAACAGGCAGCGCGGGCAUCGGCGAGCGAGGCGUGCGGCGGCCGCGGCAUGAAGCAGCAGCAGGAGAGCGCAUGGCGUCGGGCAGGACAGAAGCGCAGGGGGCACGCGCAGGUGAGAUGAGGUGCAGUCAGAGGGCGGGGACAGCGGCGCGGGUCGCGAGCGGGGCGAGGCUUGCAGGGGCGAGCGCGGUGCGUCGAGCGGGACGACGAGGCGGAGGAGUAGAACGGGGGCUCACAGGGGAAGUGGCAGGGUACGGGGCAAUGGGCGCGGGAAGGUUCGGGGAGGUCCGGCGAGGGCGAGGACGAGGCGGCGUGUCCGGCGAGGGCGAGGGCGGCGACGCAGCUCCGGGCGGCGGGGCGGCUCCGGCGACGUGGUCCCAGGCGGCGAUGGCGGGGCCGAUCCAGUCGACGGCACGAGGCGUGGCCGNNNNNNNNNNNNNNNNNNNNNNNNNNNNNNNNNNNNNNNNNNNNNNNNNNNNNNNNNNNNNNNNNNNNNNNNNNNNNNNNNNNNNNNNNNNNNNNNNNNNNNNNNNNNNNNNNNNNNNNNNNNNNNNNNNNNNNNNNNNNNNNNNNNNNNNNNNNNNNNNNNNNNNNNNNNNNNNNNNNNNNNNNNNNNNNNNNNNNNNNNNNNNNNNNNNNNNNNNNNNNNNNNNNNNNNNNNNNNNNNNNNNNNNNNNNNNNNNNNNNNNNNNNNNNNNNNNNNNNNNNNNNNNNNNNNNNNNNNNNNNNNNNNNNNNNNNNNNNNNNNNNNNNNNNNNNNNNNNNNNNNNNNNNNNNNNNNNNNNNNNNNNNNNNNNNNNNNNNNNNNNNNNNNNNNNNNNNNNNNNNNNNNNNNNNNNNNNNNNNNNNNNNNNNNNNNNNNNNNNNNNNNNNNNNNNNNNNNNNNNNGGGCGUCGCGCGAGGGAGGGGAGGGGCGAGGAGUCAACGGGGGCGGGGGCGUGGUCGCCCCGAUCCCGAUCUGGAUCAGGGGAGUGGGGGGAGAAAGCGAUUGGGGGAGGGAGUGCGUGGAGUGGAGGUGCUCUAGGUCAAGGAGGAGUGGGGGUUUAAGGGGGCCGCGGUGGGCCGGUCCGGCGGCCCAUCGGCCUGCCGGGCCGAGGCCCAGAUGGGGGGUUCCUUCCCUCCUUUUUUGUUUUGUUUUACCUUUUGUCUUUUAUUUUUAUUUAUUCUUUUCUGUUUUAGUUUAGUCACACUUUAUUUUAGUUUUUAUGACCAUAGCUCCUAAAAUAAGGUUUUAGAACAUCCCUCUACCAUAAAAAGUUUGGUGGUCAAUUAAACUAGUUUAACAUUUGUUUAUUAUUUAAAAUCAUUUGAACAAUUGUUUUGCUAUGGUUUUAUUCACUUUAGAGUAUUUAAUCAUUUCAUAAAAGUGUGGUCCCUCCACCAUAAUUGAUUAUGAUUUAUUUGCUACAAUUUGAACAUUUUUGAUUUGACAAUUGAAAACUUUUAAUGUUUGACUUUAAUUGAAAUUUGAAUUUGGCUCGGAUCUGAACUAACACGAGAUUAGCAACAGUAAUCGUGGUGAUGUGGCAUCAUUACCAGAGGGUUACUAUAGCUUGAUUAUCCGGGCGUCACAUAUGAUAAAGCUGAAAUCCCAUUUACUAAGUUUGCUAGCCCAUACUUAAAUGAGUUUGAUAAAUUUAUGGUUAAGCAAGAAGACUUCAAUGCUUAUUUUGGUAGAGAAUUAAAACGCAGUGCUGAUAUGCUUGAACACUUGGGUGAUUAUAUGGCUAAUGUCAAAGGUGAACUUAAACUUAUUAGUAAACAUGCUUCUAUGGUUACCACUCAAGUAGAACAAGUACUUAAAGCUCAAAAUGAUUUGCUCAAUGAAUUGAAUAGUAAGAAUAAUGAUUUUGUUGUUAGAGUUGCUACUAGAACUGGUAAAAUGACCCAGGAACCUUUGUAUCCUGAAGGCCAUCCUAAGAGAAUUGAGCAAUAUUCUCAAAGAAAUAAUAUAGAUGCACCUAGUCCUCCUAAAAGGAAGAAAAAGAAAAAUAAUAGGACUUUGCAUGCUUCUAGUGAACCUAUUGUUGAAACACCUGAGAAUUCAAAUGAUAUUUCUAUUUCUGAUGCUGAAACACAAUCUGGUAAUGAACCUGAAACUAGUGAUAAUGUUAAUGAUAAUGUUCAUGUUGAUGCUCAACCUAGCAAUGAUAAUGAUAUAGAAACUGAACCUGCUGCUAAUCUUGAUAACCCACAAUCAAAGAAUCAACGUUAUGAUAAGAGACUUUGUUGUUAGGAAACACGGUAAAGAAAGAGAACCAUGGGUUCAAAAAACCAUGCCUUUUCCUCCUAAACCAUCCAAGAAAAAGGAUGAUGAGGAUUUUGAGCGCUUUGCUGAAAUGAUUAGACCUAUCUUUUUGCGUAUGCAAUUAACUGAUAUGCUUAAAAUGAAUCCUUAUGCUAAGUACAUGAAAGAAAUUGUUACUAAUAAAAGAAAAAUACUGGAAGCUGAAAUUUCCAUCAUGCUUGCUAAUUAUACUUUUAAGGGUGGAAUACCAAAGAAACUUGGAGAUCCAGGAGUACCCACUAUACCAUGCUCCAUUAAAAGAAACUAUGUUAAAACUGCUUUAUGUAAUCCAUGAGCCGGUGUUAGUGUUAUGUCUCUCUCUUUAUAUCGUAGACUUGAUUUGAAUAAGUUGACACCUACUAAAAUAUCUUUGCAAAUGGCUGAUAAAUCAACUGCUAUACCUGUCGGUAUUUGUGAGGAUGUGCCUGUUGUGGUUGCAAAUGUUACUAUUUUAACGAACUUUGUUAUUCUUGAUAUUCCCGAGGACGAUAGUAUGUCUAUUAUUCUUGGAAGACCCUUUUUGAAUACUGUAUGGGCUGUUAUUGAUUGCAACAAAGGCAAUGUCACUUUCCAUGUUAAUGGUAAUGAGCAUAUGGUACACUUUCCGAGGAAACAACCUCAAGUCCACAAUAUUAAUUCUAUUAGAAAAAUUCCAUCAAUUAUUUUUGGAGGUUUUGAAUUUCCUAUUCCUACUGUCAAGAAGAAAUAUGAUAUUCUUAUUGUUGGGGAUGUGCAUAUCCCCAUUGAGGUAACCUAGUGUUAUUCGAAAACUCUCCGGUUCCAUGUUAUUCGGAAUGAGUUUGUUAACAAGACUUGAUCAACCUUGUUAAUGGAUUCCUUUUGAUGAUCAUGAGACGGAUGAAUUUAGAAAACACAACCCUCUGUACCCUCCUUUUACUUUCUGUUAUUUAUAUUAAAUAAAAUAAAAAUAGUAUUUUCUGUGUGUUAUCUGAAUUAUCCGUGCAAUAUAAAAAUACCCCGAAAAUAGAAGUUCUCCAAAUGCCCUGAAAUUUAAAUAUGUUUUUUUCUGGCAUAUUUGAGAAUAUUUGGCACUGAGAACACAACAGGGGGGCAUCCACCUGGCCACGAGGGUGGAGGGCGCGCGCUACCCCCUGGGCGCGCCCCCUGCCUCAUGGGCCCACGGUGGACUUCUCUACUUAUUCCUGCACCCACACACUCCUUCUUCCUCCCUCAAACACCAUUAUCUAGUUCAAACCCGAGUCCAAGCUCAUUUUGCUGCCAUUUUCGAUCUUGUUGCUCAAAGCACCUCUCACAAAAUUGCUUGGGGGGAUUGUUCCUUGGUAUGUGACUCCUCCAUUAGUCCAAUUAGUUUUUGUUCUAGUGCUUUAUUCAUUGCAUAUUUUUGCUGCUUAGGUGACCCUGUUCUUGAGCUUGCAUGUCAAAUUUAUAUGGUUCCAAGUAGUUCUAAUGCAUGAUAUGGGCUCUAGGCACUUGCAGGAGUAGUUGCUAUCAAUUUUGUUGAGUUUGGUUCACUUUUAUUUUGAAGUUACUAAAAAUUUCAGAAAUUUUCAGAAAAUAAUGAAGAGAUUUUUGAGAGCCGAAGCUCGAAGGAAAAGCAAAAUGAAGAAGCAAAGAAGCCCAAAUAUAAUCUGCCUCGCACCGCGGAGGUUAGGCCGUGUGAAUGGCCCUCCGAUGAUUUCUUGAGAGCAACCGGGAUUUAUGAGGAUUUUUAUGAAUUGUCUAAGAAUGCAGGCCUCACCGACUUCCUCCGCGACCAACGCGAAUAGUAUCUCUUACUCACCAAUACUUUUGUGCAAAACUUCUACUAUUAUCCUAGGGAAUCACCUCCUUCAGUAGAGUUUCAUUUAUAUGAUGUGGUUAAGAAGAUGUCACUAUAUGAAUUUUGCACGGUUUGCAAAAUACCUUUCGAGGGUAGCUUAGAGGAACCACAUCGUAAAGAUGUGGAUGGGUUUAUUGACACUAUCACUAUAGGGGAAACUAGGAAGGUUUCCGAUGCAAGAAUCAAUAGCAUACAUUUUCCUGUUUUACGCUACUUUGCAAUAUUUGCUAGUCGUUGCUUAAUUGGUCGCGGAAACUAUGGAAACCUUAGUGUUCCUGAUAUUUUUAUUUUGUUCCAUGGUUUAUUCUGUGACGACUCUGUUAGUAUGGGCGGUAUUAUUGCUAAACGGUUAAAUUUGAACCGUACAAAGGGCCCCAUCUUUGGUGGUAUCUAUGCUUCACGCCUUACUGCAUAUUAUAACAUACCCAUUAGGCACUAUGAAAAAGAAGAAAAAAGUGUUGCCUACUGUUUAUUUAGAUUAUAAGAGUAUGGUAGUGCAUGAUUUUAUUAUAAAGAAUAGGGAAGGGGAGCUUAAAUACAAAUUGUUCUUUGAUAAACGUCAUCUUGAGACUAUCACCUUGUCUGCUCCUUCCUUGUUUGAUUUAUCUACAUGCCAGUACCUCGUCUCGCCGGAGGACAUUCACGCUUACCGGAACCCUACAUCAGCCACAGGGCCAGAGUCGGAACCACAAGUUGAUCCUCCAUGACAGUCUAAUUACCAGUGGGAUCCGGAGAUGAUUGCCAACCAGUGGCAAUCAGAGUCUUCUUCUUUGCAGUAUGACCCCAACUAUUACUUUGGAUAUCCGCCAGGCUAUCCGUGGCAUUAGACCAACUUAGGCCAAAAGCCUAAGCUUGGGGGAGUACAUAUUUCUCACCGACAUUACAUUCAUGUUCACACACUCAUUGCUAGAUGUCGGUGCUCAUACUUUUUCAUUGUAACAUCCAUGCUAGUUUAUUUUCUCUUUUUAUGCUUUCUUCUUGUGUGUUUAAUAAACCUUAAAAAAACCAAAAAAAAAUUAGUUGUAGCUUUUAGCUAGUUUUAAUUUCCAUGCUUGUAGCAGUAAUUAAAAAGAAAAUCCAAAAAUAUUUCAUGUUCUUCUUUUGCUUAUUGGGAGCUUUCCCGUGUAAAUAGUUUUAUUUCUUUUCUUUUCUUUGAGGGUCGAUAGGAGAAGACCAUGAUUAAAUUGUUGAAGUGGCUCUUAUAUGCAUUAUUGUUGAUCUGACAAAAGAGCCCAUACUGCCUUGACUUCUCAUGUUUAUUGAAUGCUUGCAGAUUCCGGCUUAGUCCAAUGCACGUGCACUCUUAUUAUUAUCCACAUCGUUCGGUUGUGCAAGUGAAAGGCAAUUAUGACGAUAUAUGAUGGACUAACUGAGAUGAGAAAAGCUGGUAUGAACUCGACCUCUUUUGUUUUUGUAAAUAUGAUUAGUUCAUCGUUCCUGAUUCAGCCUAUUAUGAAUAAACAUGUUUGCAAUGACAAUUAGAGAUAAUAGUUGCUUAUGCCAUGCUUACUUAGCUAGGAGCUUAUAAUGGUUUACCUUGCGUACCAACAUGCUAUUAAAAUGGUUGUGAUGUGGUAUGAUAGGGUGGUAUCCUCUUUUGAACGAUUCGAGUGGCUUGACUUGGCACAUGUUCACGCAUGUAGUUGAAACAAAAUCAACAUAGCCUCUACGAUAUUUAUGUUCAUGGUGCAUUAGAUCCUACUCAUGCUUGCAUUCGGUGUUGAUUAAUUUUAAUGCAUGUUCAUGACUAUUGUCGCUCUCUAACUGGUCGCUUCCCAGUCUUUUUUUCUAGCCUUCACCUGUACUAAGCGGGAAUACUGCUUGUGCAUCCAAUCUCAUAGACCCCAAAGUUAUUCCAUAUGAGUCCAUCAUACCUACCUAUAUACGGUAUCUACCCGCCGUUCCAAGUAAAUUUGUAUGUGCCAAAAUCUAAACCUUCAAAUAAAUAUCCUGUUUUGUAUGCUCGAAUAGCUCAUGUAUCAACUAGGGUUGUCCGUAUCUUCCAUGUUAGGCGGGUUAUUCUCAAGAGGAGUGGACUCCGCUCCUCACUCAUGAGAAAAUGGCUGGUCACCGGGAUGCCCAGUCCCAUGCUUUAUGCAAACUAAAUCAAAAUAAUUGCAAACAAAACUCCCCCUGGGACUCUUGUUAGUUGGAGGCACUCGUUGUUUCGAGCAAGCCAUGGAUUGAUGCUUGUUGGUGGAGGGGGAGUAUAAACUUUACCAUUCUGUUUGGGAACCGCCUAUAAUGUGUGUAGCAUGGAAGAUAUUGCCAUCUCUUGGUUGUUAUGUUGACAAUGUAAGUAUACCGCUCAAAAUAUUUUUCACCUCUAUUUCAAAACCGAGCUCUGGCACCUCUACAAAUCCCUGCUUCCCUCUGCGAAGGGCCUAUCUAUUUACUUUUAUGUUGAGUCAUCAUCCUCUUAUUAAAAAGCACCAGUUGGAGAGCACCACUGUCAUUUGCAUUCAUUACUGUUAGUUUACAUUGAGUAUGACUUGACUGUAUCUCUUUUACCAUGAAUUACAAUGUCUAGUUAGUCCUUGAUCUUUAAAGGUGCUCUGCAUUUAUAUUUUGCGGUCUCAGAAAGGGCUAGCGAGAUACCAUCCUGUUAUAUCAUAUUAUGAUUGUUUUGAGAAAGUGUUGUCAUCCGAGAUUUAUUAUUAUUGCUCGCUAGUUGAUUUUGCCAUUGCUAUGAGUAAACAUGAGACCUAAGCGUUAUUGUGAAUAUGGUUAGUUCAUAAUAUUUUCUAAAAACUUGAAUGCUGGCUUUACAUAUUUACAACAACAAGAGCAAACAGAGUUUGUAAAAGUUUUUCUUUAUCACUUUCAGUUUGUCAACUGAAUUGCUUGAGGACAAGCAAAGGUUUAAGCUUGGGGGAGUUGAUACAUCUCCGUCGUAUCUACUUUUCCAAACACUUUUGCCCUUAUUUUUGACUCUAACUUGCAUGAUUUGAAUGGAACUAACCCGGACUGACGCUGUUUUCAGCAUAAUUGCCAUAGUGUUAUUUAUGUGCGGAAACAAAAGUUCUCGGAAUGACCAGAAACUCCAUGGAGCGUCUUUUUGGAAAUAAUAAAAAAUACUGGCAAAAGAUCAAGACCAGGGGGCCCACACCCUAGCCACGAGGGUGGGGGCGCGCCCCCUACCUCGUGCCCCCCUGGAGCUUCUCCGACCUCAACCCCAACUCUAUAUAUUCACUUUCGGGGAGAAAAAAAUAAAGUAAGAAAGAUUCAUCGCGUUUUACGAUAUGGAGCCGCCGCCAAGCCCUAAACUCUCUCGGGAGGGCUGACCUGGAGUCCGCUCGGGGCUCCAGAGAGGGGAAUCCGUCACCGUCGUCAUCAUCAACCAUCCUCCAUCACCAAUUUCAUGAUGCUCACCGCCGUGCGUGAGUAAUUCCAUCGUAGGCUUGCUGGACGGUGAUGGGUUGGAUGAGAUUUAUCAUGUAAUCGAGUUAGUUUUGUUAGGGUUUGAUCCCUAGUAUCCACUAUGUUCUGAGAUUGAUGUUGCUAUGACUUUGCUAUGCUUAAUGCUUGUCACUAGGGUCCGAGUGCCAUGAUUUCAGAUCUGAACCUAUUAUGUUUUCAUCAAUAUAUGAGAGGUCUUGAUGCUAUCUUGCAAGUCUAUAGUCACCUACUAUGUGUUAUGAUCCGGCAACCCCGAAGUGACAAUAAUCGGGACCACUCCCGGUGAUGACCGUAGUUUGAGGAGUUCAUGUAUUCACUAUGUGUUAAUGCUUUGGUCCGGUACUCUAUUAAAAGGAGGCCUUAAUAUCCCUUAGUUUUCACUAGGACCCCGCUGCCACGGGAGGGUAGGACAAAAGAUGUCAUGCAAGUUCUUUUCCAUAAGCACGUAUGACUAUAUUCGGAAUACAUGCCUACAUUACAUUAAUGAAUUGGAGCUAGUUCUGUGUCACCCUAAGUUAUGACUAUUACAUGAUGAACCGCAUCCGACAUAAUUUUCUAUCACCGAUCCAUUGCCUACGAGCUUUCCAUAUAUUGUUUUUCGCUUAUUUACUUUUCCGUUGCUAUUGCUAUAAUCACUACAAAACACCAAAAACAUUACUUUUGUUAUCAUUACCUUUUGCUAUCGUUACCACUACUAUCAUAUUACUUUGCUACUAAAUACUUUGCUGCAGAUAUUAAGUUUUCAGGUGUGGUUGAAUUGACUACUCAGCUGCUAAUACUUGAGAAUAUUCUUUGGCUCCCCUUGUGUCGAAUCAAUAAAUUUGGGUUGAAUACUCUACCCUCGAGAACUGUUGUGAUCCCCUAUACUUGUGGGUUAUCAGGGUCCUCCCAAAGUUUGCCAAAACAUGACUAGAGGAAUUACAACGGCGAAUGUGAGUAAUACAAGAACUACGUUUGAACAUAUUUUCUUUUAUCUCUCUAACAAGAAAUAUGUAUCUUGAUCUGUUUGUGUUUGCACUCUUCAACAUAUUCACAGCCUUCAAAUUGUCACUUUCAAUGCUAAUUGGUAGAUACAAUGUUUGUCAUAGAAUUCCAUUGUAAUUGUGUUACUCAUCAAAUUCAUAGAAAAAAGCACUGAAACAUGUGUACAUAACGCCCUUUCGUGCAUAUUAGCCACAAUCCUUCGUAAUUUUUGGGCCAUUUGACUGUCGAUAUUAGUCAAGCGUUAUGGUUUGAAUAAAGCUCUACACCCCUCAAAAAAAGUUACUUAUGUUCUUCUUCUCCAUCGAAAAGUUACUUAUGUUCUCGCCCAACUAAACCGUCGUCCCAAUUUAAUUUCACCUAGCAGUCAAGUGAUACAUGCAUUUCGCAUUACAAUUUUAUAAGAUAAAUGGCUCGAUUAACAUUGCGUAUCAAACCAUUUUUGCUCUCUGUUUUCCUUGCAUUUACAUGAUUGUGCCAGAGAGACCCCAAGCAUUGUUGCGGCUAGAUUUUUAGAGGAUAACACAAAGAAAAAGGUAAUUCCAAAAGUAGGAGAAAUAAUACAACAAAAAUAGUUUGCAAAGGUUGAAGGCAAAAGGACCACGUACCAAGGCAACCCACGUGUGGAGACCUAGGUGGACCACACAGCUACCCAUGUAGCCCAUGUGGCCGGGCCAUGUUGAACCCAUCUACUUCCUUUUAUGAUUGCUUUUUGAUGACCUCCACCCCACAAACAGAGUUUUUGAGGGGACUUCUAAUUUUUCACGUAACUAUACCAAAAUAAAAAUAUUCAAAAGGGUAGAUCCAACAAAUCCCGACCAUCAAACCAGGUCAAUCCAACGACUCAGGUUGCUCUGAUGGUAAGAGCUCAACAUGUUUACCGUGUAGUUAAUAUCAUAUCAAAUAUCAAUUCCAUCGCAAAUCACAUAAUUAACACGUAAAGGAUAUCCUACCUAAUAUCUACGUGUAAUUAAUAUAAUGACAAAUUAUUUAUUAGUUUUCUUAAGGGAGCGGCAGACACCAGACAAACCUUAUUUCUUUCCAAAGGGCUGAUCCUACCAUAUUUGUCGCCUCCGACCAGGAGAAUUCAUCAUUAUCUCAUGACCAACACCAAAGGAACAUGGGAAGCAUCUUCAUUCACACAAUUUCAUCCUACAACACCAUCUCCGUCUCCACCUCCAUCAUAGCCCAUAUGCAAUUGUGAAAGUGCAACUUAUCCCCGGGUGGUUUUGCUAACUAAUAACAACAUAUAUGCCAUUGAUCUCAUGAACGUUUAUGAUAGAUUUCGGAAAAGAUCAAUGAUUGACAUGGCAUGAACUAAUGUAUGUGGACCCCUCAAAAUGUGAAGGACAAGAAUUGGCUACCCCAAUACUCUACAUUUUUUGUUUAGUGUUCCAAGAUCACAUUGAGUCCUUUAGGAAAGCCAUUACCAUUAAAAGAGGAUGAAGUAUUGUUGACAAGGUUGUUGCUCAAAGUGCUCAGUGAUAUUGCUCCAAAAACCCCCCGUCACUUUCCCACAAUCACAUCUGUCCAAACCCAAAUUCUUCAUUUUGGUCCCAUCGAUAUAAUCCACUCUGGACCCACUAAGAUGAUCAUCCUGCUGCCAUAGCCAAAACCCUAACAUACUGGUCUGACCAAAUUGGUUCUCAGUCCCACCGAGAAGGCCUUGCCAAGUUUCUGUGAUGAAGCCAUUUCAUUUCGGAAUCACCAAGACAAAAUGAUCGGAAUUACCGAGACACGGCUCUGCCCUAGCCAUUGCACUUCAGUCCCGCCGAGAUGGAUAAUCGGUCUCAUCGAAAAGCCUAGCAGUCAAGUCUUUUGCACUAGUCGACCUCACCUAGAUUUUCAUAUCGGCGCCACCGAGUUGGGUCAAAGACUUGUAAUGGUUGGAUUUUUGGUGCUGACUGUUUAUACCCCUCCACCGUCACUUACUCUCUAAGAGAGCCAUCAGAAUGAAACAUAACUUUCUCCAUUCAUUUUAUGAGAGAGAACCACCUACUCAUGUGUUGAGAUCAAGAGAUUCCAUUCCUACCAUUUGAACCUUGAUUUGUAGCCUCUUCAAGUUGCUUUUCACUCCAAUCAUUCUCCUACCCAAGCCAAAUCUGUGUGAGAGAGAUUGAGUGUUGAGGAGACUAUCAUUUGAAGCACAAUAGCAAGGAGUUCAUCACCAACACAACAUCUAUUACCUUUUAGAGAGUGGUGUCUUCUAGAUUGGUUAAGUGUCACUUGGGAGCCUCCAAGAUCAUGUGGAGUUGAACCAAGGAGUUUUUAAGGGCAAGGAGAUCGCCUACUUCGUGAAGACCUACCCGAGUGAGGCUAGUCCUUCGUGGAUGGAAACUAUGGUGGAAUAGACAAGGUUUCUUCUUCGUGGACCCUUUGUGGGUGUGGCCCUCCGUGGACUCGCGCAACCGUUACCCUCCGUGGGUUGAAGUCUCCAUCAACAUGGAUGUACGAUAGCACCACCUAUCGGAACCACGCCAAAAAGCAUCGUGUUUUCAUUGCAUUUGAAAUCUCUAAACCCCUCCUUUACUUACAUGUGCAAUGUUUUACAUUCUGUUGCUAUACUCUUAGAAUUGCAUGUGUAGGGUCAUGCUUGGCUUGUUAGAAUUACUAAAAUUUGACCUCAACUAAAAUUGGGAAGAUGUUAGGUUUUUAUUUGGUCAAGUAGUCUAAUCACCCCCUAGACAUACUUUUGACCCUACAAACUAGUGUAGAUUGGGUUGCAUAAUCUUGUAGUUGACGCUUGUGUUUUAUUUGUGUAAGAACUAUAUGUUUAGAUUGCUAUUCAGAUCCACGGCCCUACACAUACGUAUGUAUGUGACUUGUGAGUAGUUCAUCACAUUCUCAAAUACAUGGGAGAAAGAUGUUGUUAACUCUGAUAUGAAUUUGCAAUCAUGAUUGAUCUUUUCAUUUUAUGUUAUGUUGUAAGUUUGUAGCGGCAACGUGCCAACAUCAGUUGCAUGUCACUUCGCCAUUAGGGGGCCUCUAGGAGAGCAUUGCAUUACGAUGAAUUUAUUAGGGGGGAGGGUGGAGUGACCUAACCCUUCCCGAGUCCAUGAUUGUAGCAUAAGGGGGUAAUAGGGGGCUCAUAACUUGAAGUAAUGGUUAGGUUUUACCUUAAUUAUCCCAAUAGAUAGUAUAAUUGGCCAUUGGAGUAUAACUGUAAGAAUACAAUGUUCAAUGGUUUUGGAGUGUGUUAGUUUAGACUAUCCACAUGUGAACAAUCAAAUAACAAUAAGCAAUGCAAAUGAGCAUGAACUAACAACUAGGUGAUAAUCUCACGGUCCUAAAAAAUGAUGUGGUCUUUAUAAGAAACAUCACUAGCUUGUCCUUAGCACGAUUAGGAUUUGGGUUACUUCUGAGUUAACUUCACUUUUGUUACUUAAUUACUCUUGUAACCAUCUAGUCAAUCAAACACACUACCGUCACUUUAUUCAACACAUGCAAUUCUUCAUAGCUAAUUUCUACGCACAAGUUACUUCUUCUCCUUGGUGGGAUUGAUAUUCUACUUAUCGAAAAGAACUACAAACGAUCUCAUAUGUUUGUGGGUAUCAUCUAUGAAUCUUUUUGUACUCGCUACAAUUCUUGCAUUUCAUGUUCAAUUUAUGCAAGCCAGAAACAUGUAGUGGAUUGAGUAAUGUCAUCCCUAGCAGAGUGCCGAGAUGACAUUUUAAUGUCAGCUGCUGUAAUAUUUUCACUUGACAUGGUUGAUUGUAAGUAUAGCCACACGUUGACCCAGCUAGGUGUCUACUUGCAUACAAGCUUAGAAGCCUUCAUUCUACCCCAUGACUCAAAAUGAUUAUGCUCUAAGAGCAUUAGUUCCUAUAUUUCACAUAUCAAACUUUAAAUUCCCAUGAUUCACGAAGUAUGAUCAUUCGUAAACAAACAAAUGCAAACUAGGGUGCAUUUCAUUGACCCAAACACUAAUAACUAGAGAUGAUACACACAAAAUAUGAAACAUCAUUUCGUCGAUUGAUUUAUCUCACAAAUCGUGUAUCUGAUUAGUGAUCCAUCUUUAGUGGUGAGUUCGUCUCGAGGGCUUCAAAACAAGACCGUGUGUUGGCAUGUUUCAAAGAUUUUUUUGCCAUGUUAGCUCCCAUAUUAUGUCACCAUGAUUGCCAUGUUAAGAGUGAGCAAUUUCCAUGGUAUUUUGUGUGUACUUACACGGCAAUAAUUUUGUUUAUUUUUAAAUAUUGUACUAACAUGCUUUGUUAGAUGAUGAUAUUCAAGUAUUGUUGAAACACAAAUAAUAAGUGGAUAUCAAUGCAUACAACUACCACGAAGCAAGCCCUACUUUGGCUUAUAUUGUCAUUUUGUAACUUGGCAAUGUACUUCAUGUUUGGCAACUAAGAGCAUCUACAACCGGAUCUAGCUAAUCCAUCCACCUAAGGCCCCGUUCGGAAUGAAGGAGUUGAAAACAUAGGAAUUGAUGGAAACAGAGGAGAGGAAAAGGAGCGAAGAUGCAAAACUAAGGAAUAGAGACCCAUAGGGAAAUCUCAUGAGAAGGUGUUCGGAUGAAAAGGAUCAAAAAUGUAGAGGCUUUUUCUUUAGUCCCGCAGAUAGUGCUGCUCUUGAUCACGGGAUCACACAUGCAUUAUUUUACCCAAAUGGUGAGUGUCACACGAGUGGUACGAAGUAACACCGCUGUGACAUUUUUUACAACUAAAAUUGCCAUCUAAAAAAAUGCCCCAAAAAAUUGAAACUUGACAUCCAAACAGAAAGUUGCCAUGCUUCACAACUAAAGUUGCCAUACUCGGGUAUGUAAACUUGCCAUCAAAAAACGUCAGGGCGAAAUUGCUUCAUGCCACAUGUGUGACACUUAUCAGUGUCCUUAUUUUAUUCUGGUCAACAUAUAUAGCUACAACUCUAUCUGGUAUCCACGCAUGGCACCUAGGUCUUCUGCCCAAAAAAUGAGCAUGGGGUGGAUUUUUUUCAAUCCUAUGGAAACGGUAUGGCCUGAAAUACUGUUCACUUUUCCUGUGUACCGAAAGACUGCAGAGGGAAAAAUUCCAGAGGAAUGAUGUUUGUGUGAAAAUCCUGCAGAAAACCUGCAAACCGAACACAGCCUAAACAUCUGCGGACCGAGUCUGGUCACCCCUCAAAUGUUUGCUCCCACAACCAGGUACAUCACUAGUGAAUCCUGAAAUCUAUACAAUCGCAUGCAACAUAAGGUCUCUACCGGAAUACAUCUUGAUCCCACACGACGCGUUCGGCUACUUCACCAUGCAUGCCAUCGGACUACCAAAAUUUGGCAUGCUCUGCUACAUCAUAUAUGUUGCCCUUGCCCUUGUUGUCUUCACGACCGAAGUAGCAGACGAAGAUGCAAAAUGAAUCGAGCCGAAUCUACUCAAUGUUGGAGUUGUCCGACUCGUCACUGGCCUCCUCCUUCUCCUCUUUGGGGGGUAGUUCGGACAUGCCAUAAACCUCCCAGUUUUGCUCCCGGGCGAGGGCACAUGUCCUCCUCCUUUGCCACUUCUCGAGGAUGCGAGCAUGGAUGGCUUCGUCGUCCAAGGCGAAGUGAUGACCCAUGACGCAUGCCGGCGUUGACCUCUGACUCGUACCCCUAACAUCGCAGGGAUGAAGUGCCAUCAAAGGGGUUGCGCUGCCACCCUGAAGUUGGGGUGCCAAACGGUGCUCACCGCGGCUGGCGAGGCCGCCAUCACGCGCCUCAAGCCACUAGCCCCGAUGGAUCCAAGCUCCAUUUGCACGGACGCAAUAGAUUCAUGUCGGAUCAACUCUGACCACGGUCUGGCGCACUCCUCUCAGGAGCGGUGGAGAGCCAUGUAGACAACCAUCU
rnacentral:lncRNA from 1 species